UCUUCUAGGGCCCCCUUCUGUUCUGGCUUUUGCCUGGGCUUUGGAAACCCAUUACUAGGAAGUCCCCUGGGAGGGCGACAUAGCCCGCGCGCUGUGGAACCAUCUUCUUCACAGUGCUUAGGGAGGCACUGGUCUUGCUGCAGGGGUUGGCGGGAAGGCACGAUUUUUUUUUUUUGAUUGGUCAGAGAAAGGGGGACGAUUUAUACGAACCCCACCUCCAGCCCCAAUGCCAAACUACUUCUGUUUGUUUCUUGCAUACAGGCAUGAGUUGCCAAUGUGUACCUCUCAGUGUGUUUUGGAAUGUAUGCAUACUUCUUUCUGGGUACCAGUAUACAUACCCGUGUGAACAUGUGAAUGUGCGGUAUCUCCCAAGCGUAGCGGUAUCCGUGGGCUUCACAAAUGUGUGUCAGAGUGACUUUGAUCACAUGUGUGAACUUGUGCUGGGCAUGGGUGCUGGCACUUUCCUUACUCUCUGUGUGCUUAUGACAGCCUGGGGAGCAGGUGGUGAUGCGGAAAUGCCCAGCCAGUCCUCUGUCCCUUGGCUGACCAGGGACCAGUGAUUUUUAUACUGUGGUUUCCUGUUGAAGUGGCUAUUUGAAAAGUCAGCUUUCUCCCUCUAAUUUGAGCCAGGGGGAGCAUUUGGCAAUGCAGGUCCUAGUGACCAAGGGCUGUUUGAUUUUGGAGGGCAGCUCCAGUAAGGUCCCUUUUUGGAACGACCUGGGACACCCGUUGUGACUAGAGCCCUGAAAAGCUCAUUUGUCACUGGGUAUCCCUCAGGUCCGUGGCUGCACUAUGGGAACUCUUGGAGGAAGCUCAAGGCAGCUACUGACAUUGGUGGUGCUGUCCUGCCACCCAGGGGCCUGGCACAGCAGAACCAGUGGCACUUUUUCUCUUUUGGAUUGAAUGUACAGUGGUCAGGCUGGCUGUACCCGCCAGACAUCUGAAGCCGCCCACCGUGGGUUCUGCUCUAAUUGCUGCUCAGGGUGCUCCCGCUCUGGGCGCGUGGCCAUGCUUCUAGCCCUGCCAGCCCCGAGCAACGCCCGGCCUCAGGGAGCCCAGGUUGGCCCUGCCAUCUGCAAAGCCGGCAAUUACACCCCAGCUCCACAACCGCUGGAGUUCUUUUUAUGGAUGCACAGGAAACAUCACUUGUUGCUUCAGAAAAAAAAUCACUGCCUUUGGCCGGGUUUACUUAGGGCCCGAGCACACUGCGAAUGACUUUUAAGUGUCCUUGAAGGAGUUGGGUUAAUUUAGGGCACAUUUUUUUUUUUCUAAUCUCUGUUGCCUUCCUUGUGGCAGUCCCACAGGCAAGUCACCCUUAAGGGUGCCAGUGAGCUUCCUAAACAUGAAGGGAGAUCACUACUGGGGACUUUGGACAAGGUGGUGGGGUUGACAGGUAUCCCCCUCUCUACUCAUUAAUUCCCAAGGGAGCCCUGGGCAGUGACACUGCAUCAUUCAUUCACUUCUCAAUUCAUUUGUUCAAAGGUCACCUUUGGCUACAUUUAUCCUUUUUGGCAGGUCAGAGCUGUGGCAGGUCCUAUAAGGACACCCAGGUGCUAUUUGGUGGGGUCUCAGGGGCGAGGGGCGGGGGUGUGUGUGUGUGUGAGUGUAGCUUGGCAAGUAGGUGGAGAGCCGGAGUGAUCCUAAUGGCUCCUGGGGUGAACUGGGCGGAGGAGGGGCAAACACAGUGGCAUGUCACAGGAAUCGGACAUGUACAGACAGCAGAGUCCAGGUGGCUUCCAGGGUGGUCAGUGGAUUACAACCUAACAUGGUGGGUCAGUUUCUCUUGUUUUCCUUCUCUGUUUUCUUCUCUGUCUUCCUUCCUUCCUUCCCUUUCCCAUCUCCUUUCUUUCUUUCUUUUCUUUUUCUUUUCUUGGUUCUUUUUUUCGGAGCUGGGGACCGAACCCAGGGCCUUGCGCUUCCUAGGCAAGCGCUCUACCGCUGAGCUAAAUCCCCAGCCCCUCCCAUCUCCUUUCUUCUCCUGUCCACUCCCCUUUCCCUUCUUUUUCUGUUAUGUCCCUGUCCCUGGUUUUCUACCAAAUAAUUCAUUAACCCUUCACGUUCCUCUGUGCUUUCAGGAUGAGUUCACUCACUAAGGACUUGGGGCUCCCCACAUGGUGCCUCUAGUUGCCACAGUGGCCCUAUAAGGGAGGUAGCCUCAGCCUUUGAGAGGUUGAGUAACUUGUACUAGCCACACAGACAACGAUGGUGUGUGUCUUGCCUAGGGCUGUCUGGCCUCUUUUGCUUCGGUGCUCCCAGUUCUGGGGAUGGGGGCAUGAAACUGCCAAGAUGUAAUGAGACAGACAAAUUGUGCCCUGCCAAGGUUCGGUGGGCCAUAAGUGAAUAUAUGUAUUUAAUGCAUUCAACAGUCCGCUCCCUUCUCCAUGAGGCUCCAUAGAACCCCUUCUCUGAUGAUGUACCCCCCCUCCUUGAUAACUGCCUAGAUAGGGUGAAGGAGGAGAGCCAGACUGUGCUGGGCAGGCAGCUCCCCAGGAGUCUUAGUAAAAACAGAUCCAACUUCAGUGCACCUAGGAUGGGUCCAAGAAGUGCAUUCAUGGUAAAUGUCCAAGCCCAUGUUCCUCAACUUUGGACCACCAUUUGAGAAAUGAGGGUCUAGACUACAUUUUCUCCAAGUACGGUCUGCAGGGCUGUACCUAGAGCUGCUCUGAGCAAGUAGGGUCUAGGGGAAGAAUUAUUAAUCAUACUGGGAAAAGGUACAGCUGCAUUCACCCUAGGAGCAGUGCAUGCGAGCUUGCAUGCGUAUGCAUUCGUGUGUGUGUGUGUGUGUGUGUGUGUGUGUGUGUGCGCGCGCGCAUGUUGCAUGUGUGUGAGUUCUACAUUAGAGGAGUCUCUCCAGUUCUAUUUCAUCCAACAUGCUGGAGGAUACAGCCUAAAACUCUUUUUCUUUGGAGAACACAACACCCAAGCACAUGUGUGCAGUAACUGUUGGUGUAGACGGAAAGUUCCGGGGGCAGCAGGUAGCAUGUCCCCACUGCUUAUGUAUAGAUGUCCAAGUGGACCCUCUCUCUGCUGUUCUGAAAUACAUACUUGCGUAUCUGCGUGACUGUUCCUAAGGCCACCCUUCUACAUAAGGAUGAAGGCAGCAGUAAGUGGUGACUGUGGCCACUGCUCUCCUAAUCUGUUUAGUGCGGUGGGACUCUAAUUGAGUCCACCCACUUCAUCUGUUAAGUGACAGAGAAUCCAAGCCAAGUUAGUUUAAACAGGAAGGGGCACUUAUUAGCUCACAGGGUGACAAAUCUUCAGGCGUGGCUCAUUAGGACCUCUGCUGUCUCUUCCCUUUGUGUCCUGCGGGCUGCCUUUGUUCUCUGUAGGAAUCAGGGGACCAGGUUACUUCCUUUUGUGAAUCACACUCUGGCUACUCUCAGGUAGGAUGAUCUUAACAGGGUUGGACAUGGGGUUUGCAGAUCACAUAGACCCAAAAGAGUAAGCAGUACCAUUCUGCUCCCUGAACCCACUGGAGAGUGUUCUGGCUAGAAAUGGGAACCCUGGACCAGCCAAGAGGCAGAUUCUACUGGGCUUUGGUAAAGGCACAAGAUGUGCCCCACAAACAUUCAUGACCUAAGAUGUCCAGCCACACGGAUAGGUUAGAAACUUGCUAGCCACUGGUUAGAAACAUCUCGUCAUUAUUUACUGGGAGUGGGGUGGGGGUGGAGGGAGAAGGAUGGUGGUAAAAUUUUUUCUUUUCGCAGUGAAUCAGGAAAAAAAAUAAUGCGUAGGGAAUAUAUAUCACGUUGCUAUGGAAGAAUUUUCUAGUGUUUCUUGGGUUACACAGCAGGCAAGCUAAUUCACACCAGUUUUACACACUCACUGGAAAAAGAAGCCUGCAAGUACAGAAAGAAUGAUGGUGAAUGACAGUUUGGUGCGGUCCUACUAGGCGCAGGCCUCCCUGCUAGGCAUCUGCUAUCCAGCAUAUGCUGUGUCCUAUUAUCUCCCGUCUACAGAUGAACAAACCAAGCCUCCAAAAGCCAAGAGAGCCUGCUUGUUACCAUCUUGGAAGCCAGUGUCAACACCUGUAUCUGUCUGAUUCCAGGUGUCCCUCGCUACAUUUCAUUUUCUGUUCUGUUCCUAUUUACAGACCAACAACACAAUAGUAACAAUAGUAACAGAACUGCAUUCUGAAAGCAUUUCUAAUCUUUCCUCUCUUGUUACCCAGAGGCCUGAGUCAGUGCACUGGCCACUGUCUGUGUAGGCAAAGGGGAUGGGCACAUGAAUGCUACAUUCACUGUCCGGGGGUCUGCUCUGAGCUGGAGUUAGUUCCUCCUGGGUGGGGGUCUUGACUCCUCACUGGUGAGUGAUGGCAGUGGGGACUCUAGGAGGAUGGAGGCCACUCUCCUUACCCCUCCUUUCCAUUCAGGAGGCACAGGUGGACUGCUGUGACAUGAUGUGUCUGGCUGGGCAGGACCACUGAUGACAGUCCACUGGCUAGUCUGGCAUAGGCUCUGACUGCUACGGCCUUUUCGAUCAGCCAGGUUUAGUUCUGGGUCUUGAGAGAGGGGGUGUCCAUUCUUUCCUAACGUCUCAUUACGAGCUCCCCAGUGUGACUGGCCGAGCUUCUGUAGCAUAGCUAAGGUCUCGUGGCACAAGGAAAUCCUUGGUUUGGGAGCCUAAGCCUCUUUUCUUGGGGGUUUUCUGCUGGGCUACCAUCCUGGCCAGAACUCUGGGAUUCCUAAAAGCCACAAAGAAAAAGUGAUGUUGUCACAAGUGGUACCGUCCAUGUCACAUGCUGGGCUCACUCGGGUCCAGUGCUAGGGUAGGGAAGGUCAGCCUGUCACCUGACCCAAGACUUACUGAGCUUAAGUGAUGGAAGACCAGCUUACAAUGGAUGGAAUAAACGAGAGCUAUUAUGAAUCCAGUCGCUUGAAGGUUCUGAGGAGUGUUGGCUUAGGUGGAUCCAGCUCAUUCGGUCUCUCAGCUCCUCCACUCUUGCUGUUUAUUUUAGAAGGCUCCUCCCCGCUCACCCAUGGGAAGCCAUCAGUAGCUCAAGGCUCUUCCCUAACACUGUGAUGUGGAACUGGCAUGCAUCUCCUGGUGCAACACAGGGUAACUAGACGGAGGUCUCUGUAAGACUCUAGAGCUGUAUUGCCCAUGAAAGCAAGCCUCCCCUGUCUUCUCCAGACACUACCUUUCACUGGGGCAGGAAUCACUGGAUGGUUAGAGACUUCCAAACCUCAUCCCAGACUUCAUUACCCCUUGGGGUAGCCGGGCCUAUUGUUGGACUGGAGGGAGGGAAGCUUAAUGGGUAGGUACAGUGGAGGAUACCAUUCAGCGAUGAACACAAGAGCAUAGAACACAUCUGGGAGCGGCUCCAGGAGCCAGUUCAGUUUGUUGGGCACAGCCAGGGAUAUUUAUGCCCCUGGGGAGGUGGCCAGCAUCUCUGUGGUAAGGUCUGUGUGGCCAGGGCAGGGGUUUUGGGAGAUGCUUCAUCUGCAUGCUCAGGGCUGGAGGGUCCAGGGGAAAAACCUUAUAAAGCCAAACAAGGAAUGAACAAGGCCUGAUAGCUGUUGGGGUAAUAAAGUCCUGCUAGGGCUGGUGUGAGUGCUUUAUGGUGCUAGGCUGGGAGGAAGGUGUAGCCUACUCCUGCCACCCUCAUGUUUGAGGUAUCCAGGUUGAAACACCCUCAACCUUUCCUCCGUAACCCUGGGCCAUUGUGGAUCCACACUUCAUGGCAGGCCUAUGCACUGCACCAGACUGCUGCCCGUCUCCGGUGCUCUUCUGUUGCUUCCGAUUGGUCUUGCCCCAGCAAUCCUUCCCCUACCCAGCAGCCAGAGCAGCUUUUACAAACCUCACAUCAAAUUCUGUUACCCCAUUGCUUCUUAUUGCUCUCCAAGCAAAAUAAUCCUAACCCACUGGCCUGAUAGCCAAGGCCCCUCCCUCCCAGAUUUGGCCUGGUGAAUUCUGGCUGUGCCUCUCUGGGCUUGUUUUUCCUCCAGCACCGGGAACUCAGGACCCUUGCAUAGGCUGUGCCCUCUCUAGGGCCAUCCUCGCUGCCUUUAUCAACUGCUUUGCUUUGAAGGCUUUAACUGAGUGACCCUUUGUCCUGGGAGCUACCCUGGACACAUACAUAUCGUGUCACACUUCAAGCUUCUUGGCAACUUGUAGUAUGAAUGUUCCUGGCUAAGUCUACGGGGUUCAGCUCUAGACUGGGAGGGGUCAGCUGGGAGCUGGGAAGUGACAUGUCCAGGAAGUGGGAUCUGGAAGCCCCGGGCAGGGAAAGGCAUGACACUUUCCCAGAGAUCCAGUGCUCCCCCUGGGCCUGCUCUGAUGUCAACCACAUGGUGCGUAUCUUCAGGCACAGAGCCUCGGAAUGGUGGCAGCUGUGCCAAUGUCACCCCCAGGAAGGAAAGCAUUUGUGCACAUCCAUUGUAGUUCUGCAUGGCUUUCUGGCCCUGCAAAUCUGAUUUCAGACCUCCUGGUUUAAAUCAAGUCAAACAAGGAAAGGAAGUACCUUCUAGGUAUCUAUGGGAAAGACUGAGUCAGUACUUUGCGACCUAGGCCCGUGAAAAUACUCAGUCCUGCCAGCUUCUCCCCACUGGAGUUCACUAAGGAUGAGCACAGUGGGACCAGCCACUAUCUCACACUGAAGUCAGUCACUGUGAGCCAAAGCCCAGGAACCCUGUUUCUUCCGGCCAUCCUAGGUCAAGUUGCUCGUCGGGCUCUGUCCCCCACUGUGUGGUCUGGGGUACUCUUGGUGCUGGUGGAUGAAGAUUUCUGCUAUUCAUUUAGAAGGUAGCUCCUGUCCACAGUUGUCCCUGUCCCCCAUUUCCCUAGGCAUUGUUGAGUGAUAAAGAAUACAAACAGGAGUAUACUCAGGCCUAUUGUGAGCGGCACAAGUAACGUGACUGACUGCCGGGACUCAUCUGCUCUGAGUCUCCCAGACACUCGAGGGCCGGGCACACCACCGAGGCUGACUCUGCUUUGUGAUGUCCUGAGUCAUGGCCUGGAGCAUCCCAUUCUGGUCUCUGUAUGGACGAGUACAUGGGAAGCCCCUUCUGGGAACCUGGGUCUACGUGAAAGAACAGGUUCACCGUGCCAUUCCCCAGCCUCUUCUGUGGCAGGGAAACCCUGGAGGUCCCCAAGUAUUUAUAUGUGUAUGCAUCUUGCCACAGAGACCUUGUGUAUGUGAACUGUGUACCCAGCCAUGGAGACUAUAGGGUGUACAUAUACAUGUCUUGCCUGUGGGCGCUUGCACACACAAAUGCAUGAGUUAAGUUUUUGUGUGAAUGUGCAUAUAAUUACAUGCAUGCAUUCAAGUGUGUGUGCAUGCAUCCGGAUGCAUGUGUGUAUGUGCACAUGUAUGUUCUUAGCAGAGAUGUCCUGCUGGAGCAGGUGGGGUAGAGGUACCAGGGAGAGGAAGACUUCAGCACCUUGAGUUCCAGCAUUGCUUUAGAUCACCCCUCCUCCACUGGCAGGCGCGGUGGAAUGGGAAGGCCCAGGUAGGAGCCUAUCAUUCCGCUGCAUAUGUUUUAUAUUAAAUGUCAGCUGCUCACCGACUCUGCAGUGCUGCCAUUAAUAUGGAGAAGUUAUUACCAAGCCUAGAGCUGGCUCCUUGGGCUCAUCCAUGAAUUUCAAUUACACUGACAUCGACUUCAGGGUGGGUGAGUGGGGUACACAGCUUCCCACUUGCUGGCAAAGGAAACUCCGGCAUCCGGGAUCACGGAUAUUGUAUUGCUAAGAGGCCAGGCAGUUUCUGCCUGUUCUGACCCGACCCUAACAUUUCCAUAGUUAAUCAGGAAGUAUGAGCUUAGCAUGUGGGCUGGAGGCUGCCACAGGAUCAGCUGUGCUCAGCUGUGCGGUCAAGCAGAGGCUACAACACUGUGAGACUCAGUUGAUCACACUGCAAAAUGGGGCUCCAUCAAUACCCAUCCCGCUGGGCGUUGGAAGAUGGGUGCACUGUGAUCAUGCAACCCAGGUCAGGGUUCAGGGUCUUGUCCAUUUCUUUGAAUCUCAUUUUAUAGCUCUACCAGGACUAGAACAUUGCUGGGUAUGUCAGCUAAGCCUCAGACCUGCUGCAAUGCUCCUGCCUCUCAGGCGCUGGGAUUACGAGAGUCUGCCAUGACACCCAGCUGCAAUGUGGUACCUUAACCAUUCUCCAUCCAUGAUUUCUCACAGUCCCAAUUGAUGGAAUUUACUGUCCACAUCAUGGUGAAUGGAGCAUGUAUCCCAUCUUGAGCCUUUUGGCCCGAGUCACAGUGAGCAAGUGUAGUCUGGCUUCAUCCACUUCUGAGUGUCUUUUUCUCUUGGAGAAAGUAUAGGUGGGGUCGUGACCAUCAUUAGAUGCCUUGCUAAUGACAGAGAUAUGUGUUCUGUUGACACUGUUCCUUUCGGCAUGUGUCCUUUUCACGACCACAGUGUGAGGCUUUCUGAAGGCAUCUUGAGUGGCAGGAGGUGUCAACCUGGACAAGUGUUAACCUCACAGGUACCCAGUCAAAGCGACGCCAAUAGGAGCUAUUGAUGCCUCGCUGGCAUGUGGUGACCCACGGGUUUUGUCAUGACUUUGAAGGUAGUGUAUGUGAAAAAUGCGCCUUAAAAAAUGUUUCUUCUUAGAGUUCUUCAAAUCUGGUUUGCUGUCAGUGAGGGUGAUGAUGGCUGUGAUGAUGAUGGUGGCGGCAGUGGUGGUGGUGGUGGUGAUAGUGGUAAUGGUGGUGAUGGGGAUGAUGUCAGUGGGCGUGGUAGUGAUGAUGGUGAUGGUGAUGGUGGUGAUGGGCAUGAUGAUGACAGUAGUGAUGGAGAUAUGGUUUGGGAAUGACGGCAAUAAUGAUGGAAAUUAUGGGGCUGAUGGGGAUGAGGCUAGGGGUUGUCAGGGUUAUGGAGACAAUGUUAUUGGGGAUGGGGAUGGGGAUAGGGAUGAUGGCGGUGGUGGUAGGGUGUUAUUGGGGAUGGUGACGACAGGGAUGGUAGUGAUGGGUAUCACGAUGAUGCCGGUAGAGAAGCAAUUAAUCACUCCAAGGCCCGGAGAGCUGACACACAGAGAUUUCACACAGGGGACAUGUAGGACAGCAGCAGGGACUAGCCUGAGCUAGAGGAGCCACUUGUAGAUAGCUCCAUGAACAUGAGUUCAAGGAUUCAUCUUUGAAUUUGGGUACUUCUCUUUUGAAAGUGGACCAUAGGGAAAUGGGUGUAUUGGUGUUUUGUGCAAGCUUGUUCACGUCUCAGCAGUAGCUAGCAUGAUUGUCACAGAGCUUCUAGGGGGGCACAACAAAAAGAGCCGCAGGAACAUAUGACCUUUGUAGAUAGUUGCAUGCCAUUUGAGGGUAAGGAUCCGUUCCAAGAGCAAUGUCAUCGGGUGGUUUUUGUUGCACGAAUAUCAUAUGUUAAGCUGGCUAUGACCCCACUUGGCUCUAUAAUCUUAAAGGGCCACUGUUGUGCCUGUGGCUUAUCAUUGGCCAAAGUGGCAGUAAUUGCACAGCAUGGGACAUACACUGUGUGUGUAUCUGUUGGUGUGCACGCACCAGAUUGAUGCCAGGUAUCUUCUGUCUUAAUUUUUGAGGCAGGCAGGGUACUUCAGAGAACCUGGACAGCAUCUCACACUGAUGCAGAUACACUGGUUGGCCAGAGAGUCCACUUGUCUUCUCCUCCCCAAUGGUUCACCUGUGCAUGCUAUUCACCUGGCUUUUUAAACAUGGGUAUUGGGGAUUCAAACUUAGGUUCUCAUGCUCAAGCAGCAAGCACUUUACCAAUUGAACCAUCUUCCCAGACUCUCUAUUGUUUUAAUGUUUUUUUUUAAUAGACUUCACCACAAACACCAGUUGGUAAUAAGAAAACCUCAAGUUAAGCAAUACAAAGAUGAACUCCAUUUCUCCCUGGCUGUCUGUUCUUGUAACCAUCCUAAGCAGUGUUCAUUAUUAAAGCUUCAGAUAUCAAAGGGGUUUAGUGCUUGGAUGCCACACUGUCCAGUAUGAUAGCUACAGGGCACAUGAGGUCCCUGAACAUUUGAAAUGCCAUUGGUCUGUACCAAGAGGCACGGUGCUUGUAAACUACUUUACAAACUGGAUUUCUAAGACUUAGCACUCCUGCCCUUGCAAAAAGCAAAACAUUUCACAGAUUCUCUCUCUCUCUCUCUCUCUCUCUCUCUCUCUCUCUCUCUCUCUCUCUCUCUCUCUCUCUCUGUGUGUGUGUGUGUGUGUGUGUGUGUGUGUAUGUGUGUGUGUGUGUGUGUGUGUGUGUGUGGUGUUGAGCAUUGAAUCAAGGGCUUCAUGUAUGUCAGGCAAGUACUCUGCCAUUAAGAUAUAUUCCCCUUCCUCAUAGCUAGACAUAAAAUAUGGAUUAUCGUAGUUAGGGUUCCCAUUGCUGUGAAGAGACACCAUGACCAAGGCAACUCCUAUAAAGGCAAACAUUUAGUUGGGGCUGGCUUACAGAUCCAGAGAUUCAGUUCUUUAUCAUGGUGGAAAGCAUGCAGGCACACGUGGUGAGGUAAAAGUUCUACAUCUUGAUCCAAAGGCAACCAAGAGGAGGGUCUCUUCCACACUGGGUAGAGCUUGAGCAUAGGAGACUUCAAAGCCCACCCCCACAGUGACACACUUUCUCCAACAAGGCUAUACCUCCUAAUAGUACCAUGCCCGUGGGCCAAGCAUUCAAACAUGGGGGCAAGCAUAUUUAAAUCAUCACACUGGGUUAAACGAAAUCUGUUCUAGAAGUCAACUUCAUUUGUGUUUCUGCCUUUUCCUUUUGAAACUGUGGGGACAUGUUGGAGACAGCUCAGUCAACAAAGUGCUCCCCAUGAUGAGAACCUUGAGUUUGAAAGCCCAGUUCCCUGGAAAGCCAGGCUUAGAGACACCUGCCAUGCCAGGAGCCAGGAGGACCCUUGGGAAUUGAUGGAUUGUCAGAGUGACUAAACUGAUGAGCUUCAUGUUCAGACACACACACACACACACACACACACACACACACACACACUCAAACACACAGACACACACACAGACAUACACACAUACACACACGCACAUGCACACACACAAAAACACACACAUACACACACGCACAUGCACACACACAAAAACACACACAUACACACACGCACAUGCACACACACUCACACACAGAGACACACACACAGACACACACACUCACACAGACACACACAUACACACACGCACAUGCACACACACAAUAACACACACAUACACACACGCACAUGCACACACACACACACAGAGACACACACACAGACCCCCCACAUGCUCACACUCAGACACACACACAGACAUACACACACUCAUGCACGCACAUGCACACACAGACACACAGACACACACAGACACACACAGACACACAGACACACACAGACACACACAGACACACACAGACAUACACGCACUCACGCACACACAUACACACACACACUCACACAUAUACACAUAGACACAUACACAGACAUACAUGCAUGUACACAUGCACACAUGCACACACACAUACACAGACACACACACAUGCACACACACAAACACACACACAUGCACAUACACACAUACGCACACGCACGCACACGCACACACAUACAUGCACAAAGCCUAAAAGCCAAUUGCUCGGUGCCAUUCAGGCACAUGUGGCUGGGUUCUUCGUCUUGGAUGGUCACAUCUGUUUAUUCUUUCCAGUGAGUCUUAGAAUUGUUUUGUCAGGCUCAACAAUCCCUUGUGAAUUUGAUUGACAUUAAAUUAAACUUAAAAACUAAUUAAAGGAGGAAUUGACAUAAUGCGUCCUGUUUGCUGGGACAAACAGUGUGUCCUUCAGUUUGUGUAAUUCUGUUUCCAUGAUGCUCAGUAAAGUAUCACACAUUUUUUGCAUAAGGAUCAUCCACUUCUUUCUUUCUUUUUUCUUUUUUUCUUUUUUCUUUCUUUCUUUCUUUUUUAGGAAAUCAGGGUUAUUUUAAGGGUUUUUGUUUUCUUUCUGCCCUUGCAAACUGAAUCCCCCCCCCCCCAGUUGUUGCUUUUUAUAAACUUCUCUUUCAUCAAGCGGUUUGGUGCAUUAAUUCCAGCCGAGCUCUGUGGACUCUCUCAGGUUUCUAGGUACACAGUUGCACUGCCUGGAAACAGUGGGUUUUGGACUCUCAUUUCCAGCCUGCACUGUCUAGAACUUUCAGUGAUGUUAAGCAGCGGCUUGGUGCACACUCCUUUGCGCCUGACUGUUGGGACCGCCCCUGGCGGUUCUCUGCUUAAUGUAAUGCUUGCUUGAGGAUUAAGAUGGAUUUCAUGUGAAGGCAAUAUCCUCUGAAUUCCAGUUUCCUAAGAUCCCAUUUUUAUCAGCAAAGGAGCAGAAAUUGAGAUAAAAUGUCUUAGCACACCGUCCCCCGAGCUAGUGAUGUUAUAGUUAUGAGUUGUUGGGGGUGGGUGGUCUCAGCCUGGGAGUUACUGCCAGUUCACAGUUGUCUAUUCUGCUAAUACAGAAACCGAACCCAGUCCCCAUUUACAGCAAUUGAACCCACUCGCUGGAGGCCUUUAUGGGGAACGGGGGAUACUGUCCCAGGGCAGGUGGAAUAGGUAUCGUUCAGCCUUAUGGCUGCUGAUAUGAAAGAACCAUUGUCUUCUUGACUGAGCAUCUCUCCCCUCCCACCCCCGAAAUGGCAUGUCUAGCCUCCUCUCCAGAGGACCCCUGGCCCCAUCGAGCCCCCUCCCCAUACAGAAGUUUAGUUCCAACCUGCUUAUAUGCAGUAUUUGUAGCCUUUUCCCUCCCAGGCUAUAGAUACUUCUUGUCUCUCACAAGCUUCCAGAAUAGACAUCCUCAAACAGAUUCCUGGUGCUGGCAAUCUGUGAACAAUCCUGCAGAGAAUAAAAUUGUUUUCCCACAUGGGGCCUGCCUGUCUGCUCCUGACUGCUGUGGAGUUUGGGAGGCUUUGAACAAUACCAUGUCUAGGCUGCACCUUGGGAUUCUGGAGUCUGUAUUGGUCACAAGCCACACAGGAGAAUCGUAUGGGUACCUAUGGACCUGGGGAAGGCAAUGGGUUGAAGGUCUAGAGGGAACCACGUGGAAGCCCGACUUCCCUCCUGUUCGCUUGUGACUCUGUUUCUCCACUGAGUCUGCCUGCCUUAGGUGGUUGGAAUGAGAUGUUCCUUCUGAGGCUCAGGCAUUUGAGUGCCUGGUUCUCAGUUGGUGGCACCGUUUGCCAAGGUUUCGAAGGUAUAGCCUUGGUAAAGGAAACCACCAGAAGCACGAUUUGAACUCUCAAAGCCUCUUAACAUUCUCAUGAUGCCUUCUCUGCUUUCGGUGCGUGGUUCAAGCUAUGAGUCCUUAGUUUCCUGCUCUGGCCACCGCACCUUCACUUCACCAUCUUGAAUUCUCACCUCCGGAACUAUAAGCCCCAACAGACUCCUCCACAAGGUGCCUUGGUCAUGGUGCCUUAUGACAGUAACAGAAGAUUAAUGACUACGCUGCCCCUUGUCCUGGAGGAGCAAAAGGCAAUAAGGCUGGCUAGCCUGGUUGAGAAUGUCAACACCACAUCGAGGUGGAUUGGGAUGAAAGAAAACGAUGACCUCCAGGGGUCUCUUACCUGGAUAUUCUGAGCCCUGCCAAGGGAGACAUUCACAGUGAUGGCUGUGUGCAGUUGAGAGGAGCGAGCAGAUAGGCUAACAGCAGACGGGGCAGUGACUGGUACUGGGCUAGUCAUACAUAGGGCUUCUAGACAUCCCCAGGGUACUGAGUACUAACUCCUGGGGCUGUGGUGUAGUCUUCCCCUCUCCCACAUCCCCAGGCCCUACGAGGCCCAUCCCUUCUCUGAUCUCGAGUGGGCACGUUGGAGCUGGAGAGAUGACUCAGUGGUUAAGAGCACUGACUGCUCUUCCAGAGGUCCUGAGUUCAAUUCCCAGCAACCACAUGGUGGCUCACAACCAUCUGUAAUGGGAUCUGGUGUCCUCUUCUGGUGUGUCUGAAGACAGCUGCAGUAUAUGUAUAUGUAUAUGUGUAUGUGUAUGUGUAUGUGUAUGUGUAUGUGUAUGUGUAUGUGUAUGUGUAUGUGUAUGUGUAUGUGUAUCUAUAUGUGUAUGUGUAUGUGUGUGUGCAUGUGUGUGUGUAUGUGUAUGUGUAUGUAUAUGUAUGUAGUACACACACACACACACACACACAUAUUAAAUAAAGUAAAUCUUAAAAAGAAAAAAGAGUGGAGAGCGGGCACCUUCCAUUAGUGAGACUGGAUCUCAAGGCAGCAUGGAUUUGGCCCAGGUUGGCUUGUGAGGGAAUGCGUGCGGGAUUAUUCUUUAUCCUACUUCCUGACUCAGAACUCUGUAAUUUCCGGAGUGAUAAGGGGUGGCGUCUUUUAUUAUAAUUAUUCUGGACCUGGUCUUAGUGCCCUGGUUUUUCACAGAGCAGCUUCUAAGAGUCUUGGAAUCAGCAGAGGAAUAAGAUUGUCUUUUGUGUGCUAAUGAGAUGUCUGGUAGCUGACUCUGUCACGUAGCUUCAGACAGGGAGCUGGCUGUGACAGUGUCCAGGACAGGAUUGGAGGGGGGUUGACUUUAGCUCCACUACUCUGUACUAUGAAUCUUCUGUGGGGCUCAUCAAGCUUCAUGGGGCAGGGGCAGGGACAGAAGCUUCUCUCCCCUUCCAACAUCUGGCUGGGUGAGAGUAAGUGAAAUACUUCCCCUGACCCUGAGCACCUUUCUAGCAACCUAAUCCAUGUGACUUGUCACAGGGAGCCCAGUUUUAGAGCAGCUGGUUCUGGAUGGAGUUCUGUGAGCCCACAGCUCCACUAGCAUCUGAAGGCAUCGGUCUUGUGGGACCUGAUGCCCUGAGUAUAUAAGCCAAUCCUCACCAGACAUGCAGGACACCCAGAGAGUCAGAGAGGGUCCAUGGGUGAGAGGGAGACAUUGGAUGUCAGAAGUGUUGUGAGUCAAAGUGGAUCCUGGAAAAGAGGCACACAGCCUGGGGCAGUGACAGUGGGAAGGUGGUCCCAGGCUAACCCCAGAUACAGCAGCACACAAAACAGAUCUUUCCCUUUCUCUCUCUCUGUCUCUUUUCUGUCUCUUUGUGUCUCUCUGUCUCUCUUAUCUCUGUCUCUCUCUGUCUCUCUGACCUCUGUCUCUCUGUCUCUGUCUCUGCGUGCGCACGUGUGUGUGUGUGUGUGUGUGUGUGUGUGUGUGUGUGUGUGUGUGUAAGGGGCAGGGAGCUGGGUAAUGCCGAGUCCUAGCUCUCAAUCUCCUCCUUCCUUUCUUCUUCCCUUCUUUCACCCUCUUCUUGUCCCCCACUUCCCUUCUCUUAUUCCUUCUGUUACUCCCUCUCUCCCCCACAACUCAUUUCCUCUUUCCUCUCUCUCUCUCCACCCUCACUCCUUCCAGCUUUCUUUUCCCCCUUUCUCCAUCUUCCUCCCCCCAUUCCUCCUUCCAAGAUUCCUUCAUCAUGGGGUGGGACCCUCUUUAGAGGCGGGGGCUCUCCAUCCCAGACUGCUCACUCUUACCCCAGUCUGUGCCUACACCUUCCUGUCUAUGCGUCAGCCUCCAGGAGCCCCGAUCCUCCUUUUGUGGGCCCCCAGUUCUCAUGGGUACUACAAGGAGCAAUCUCCAUGUGCUGAGAGGAAGUCAGGUUUGGAAGAGAGGAGUGACCCACCAAUAUCACAGAGCCCGGUCUCUUCCUCCAUGACUGAAACUUGAGCAGGUCCUUGAGCUCCACAGCGGAGCACAUCACCCCUGCCUCUCAUAGGAGCAGGGUUAUUUGUCAUCCAGAUGUGGUGGCUGGUGUUUACAACUUGACACAAAUGUCGAUGUAUCUGGGAAGAGGAAUCUGAAUUGAGAAGACACCUCUGUGGGGAUAUUUUCUUGAUUGAUGAUUGAUCAAGGCUGGCCCAGCUUACUGGGGGCAGUAGUAUCCCUGGGCAGGUAGUCCUGGGGUAUAUAUGAAAGCAAACUGAGUUAAACUAGUCAGGGAGCAAGGGAGGAAGCAGCCCUCCUCCAUGGCUUCUGCUUAGGUCUUUGCCUAGUUCUCUGUAUGGACUGUGACUCAGUGUAUAUAAGCCAAGUAUAUUUCCUCUCAAAUUGCUUUCGGUCCUGGUGUUUUAUCACAGCAAUAGAAGCCUUGACAAGACACUGGGGUUUCCCCUCUUCCCUUGUUAGCUGGCCAGACACUUUAUUCUUAGUGUACUUCGCAGAAGAGGAGUCAAGUUUACAUCCACUGUUACAGUGGCCUCACCUCAGAUAGGAUGGUGUGACCUUUGGGCAUUAUCUCUCCGUGGGAGUUUGGGGGUGGGGUGGCCAACAGGCCCUCAAUACUGGUGAGUUCUCAUUUGGGAGAAAUACCUGACAUAUUUUCUCUAUCAAGGUCACCACAGUUAGUGUGUUUUUCUCUCUGAGGACUGUCUACAAGAGCCGAAGCUAAGGGUAGUCCCAGUGGGUUGUUUGGGGGUUGCUAGUCUAGCUAUAUUUGGGGUUAGCUUGGGCUCUGAUUUGUGGCCUCUGGUGGAUGAAAGGGAUACUCCAGGAUGGGACAUGGCCAAGGCUUGGCAGAGGUGGACAGAUGCUUGCUCCUUCUUGACGUUGGACUUUACUGAUGGGCCCCUGGCCUCACAGCCUUCCUUUAUGUCAAAUGGGUUCCUGUAGAGGUUGCUGAGGCUGGGCUAGCCUGGACUGUUGGUCCUGGGUUCAGCAUCUGGGUGACAGUGUGUGCCAGGAAGGCUUUGUUAUUGAUGAACCUGAUAUUUCUGCGAGGCCAGUGGUGGCUGUCUUGUAUCUUCCCUCCUCUAAAGCUGAUGGACUCUCCUCAUCACCGAUGCUCUGUUGACUUGAGUGGAUUUGCAUUUAUUGAAUUUCCCCUGUAGCUUCCAUUGUGUAUGGCUGAUCCCACUAGCCUUUCCUACUUACUCCCUCCAUCAUGGUGUGGACAGUGACCUGCCUCUCACACACCUGUCCCAGGUGUGCUCCUCUACUUUCCUCUUUUCCAUUUUCUCCUUUUAAGAAGUGUCAUGUGUUUAAUCGUGUGUCUGUGUGUCUGUCUGUGUGUCUGUCUAUAUGAGUGCAGUGUCCUCAGAGGCCAAAGGAAUCAAAAGCUACCCAAUGUGGGUCCUUUAGCAAGAAUAGUAUAUGCUCUUAGCCAUAAAGCCAUGCUCCAGAGUCCACCCUGUUCCUCGUCUUCCUCUUCCUUUUCUUUGAGGUGGUUCACACAGCCCAGGCUGGUCUUGAACUCCCUAUGUAGGUGAAGAUGGCUUUGAACUCUUGAUCUUCCUGGCACCACUUUUCAAGAGCUGGGAUGACAGGCAUGGGUCGCCAUGCCUAUGCUUCCAUUUAAUAUCUUAAAAUACCUUCUAGCCCUUAAAUUCAAACCAAGCUCUUCAUGUCACAGAACCUAUUUGGGUUGACCUCAAGCAGUAGUCUUUUUUUUUUUUUCCUGACUUGACAACUUUGCUCUCUCAGUAUCAUUCACUGACCGACAACUUGGGAUGGUUACCUCACCACCCAUUGGGUUCUCAGAGGCAAUGGUCUGUUUCUGCUCUCACUUCUCUUUUAUACACUAGUUCUGGGCUUUUUAAUUACUGUUGCUUCAAGACGUGUUCAAAUUCUUGAAGGGCAGAUAUCACCAUCGGGGAUUAGAAGCUGUUUUUGAUAGUUUUCGCCUGGUCCCCAAAUGGAUUUUCUGUUUAUUUUCUCAUGACCUUACACAGUAAACUGAGUAGACCUUGAUGUGCGGUGCUAAUGCAUGGCUACGGUUGUACCCAGCAUGCAACGGGGCCUUAGCGAACUUCCGCUAACAAGCAGGUGACAUCUUCAUGGUGUUUAGUUUUCUAAGGAAAAUAAGAACAUUGACUCAAAUAUAUCUCCCACUGCCCCCCAGUGGGUUUAUGGGAAAGGGUUCUAGAAUUUUAUUGGCAUUGAAUCAAGGAUCUUUCCCAUUGUGUCUCAUAGUAGCUUAUUAUAGAUAGCUAAGAACAUUUUGAAUUUAUAAUUCACAUGUGACCCUUUAACUCUAAACAUGUGGGCCCUGCUUGUUCUAGAAUAAUAAUAACAGUCUCCACUUGGACAUCUUCAUUCCUAACAAGCAGAGCUCAAAAGUGACCUGUCAGUACAAAGGAUGGGUGCAUCAUGGAACUGAAGCUAAGUUAAGGUGACAACUCCAAGACCCCCAUAAUCGCUGUCCUUAUGACGAGCUCCCCCCCCCCAGUGCACUUCGUUUUACAUUACUGGGAUCCAGAGACUUUUCCCUCCCUGUUGUCUUUCAGCCAAACAGUCCUCAGUCCUCUCUUAUUAUAACAACGCAAACAUGAAACGGAGAAUCAUAAAAAAAAAAUCCCUUUAAAAUAAAUCCCUUCCUUGGCUGUUUCCCGUGUUUGCAUUCCUAGAUCUGCAAGUAACUGCAUUCAUUUCACUUCUGGACAUUUUCAGGAACUUCUCUCUCUGUGUUGUUUUCCUUUUGGAGUUGGGGUGGUUUUUCUUGGGGGGUGGGUGGGGCUAAGUAUGCAGUCACCUGCAAAUUGUAAUAUUUUAGUCCCUUCUUUUUCAAUGUUGAUUCAUUUCUUGUCUUAUUACAUUGGAGUGUAAAAGGAUUGGCGGCCAUUUUGCAUGAGAACUUUUACCAUGGCCUCAGAAUAUCCAGCCCAACACAUAAGGGAGUUGCCAUCUGGGCCCUGCUUCCCAUUGUGAGUUUCCUGUGGGUUUGGUGACACUCUUGGGAAGAGGCUGACAGAGACAGGGAUGUGUCCUGACAACUUGGUAUGAAUGUGUACCUGAGAAGACCUGGUGGGGUCCCUGUCUUGCCUCGAACUGAUGGUAUAAUUUUCUGAACUCUCCCAUUACUCACAGCAGAGCUUGUUUGGAACUGAUCGGUGCUCUGUGCUGCGCCCACCCGCCAGUGCGUUUUGUUUGGCCAUCUCGGUAUUUGGCCUAUGAAUUCCUAAAUUUCUAUUAUCUUGAGAGUCUGGGACUUGUGUCCUGGGAUUGGAAGUGAGUAGAGAUGGAGUCUUCCUAAAGGACCCAGUAGCUCCUGGCACUGCAAUCUCCAUUUUUCUUUCUUUCUUUCUUUUUUUUUUCUUUUUUUUCCCCCCCGGAGUUGGGGACCGAACCCAGGGCCUUGCGGUUGCUAGGCAAGCGCUCUACCACUGAGCUAAAUCCCCAACCCAAUCUCCACUGUUCUUAUAAUCACGCCACACACUUCUGCAUUCAUUCCCUGUUCAACCCCAGGCUAAGCACCUGAGUUGUUUUUUUCUCUUACAUUGAGAGAGGGGCCCUGUACCUUUUAGAGCUGCGGUUUCUCGUUCUCCCCUUCCUCCAUCCUGCCCAAGAUUUCAGUUUAUCGACAGUCAGCUGCUGCACACCUCUGUGCACCGAAGCCAGCCUUGGGCCUGCUGCAAUGCGCACUGCUUGAUUCUGGCUCCUUCCCUCCCCUCACUGGUGGACACGCCUAUUUGUCAUCUGUGAAAGGUAAAAGUUGAGCACGGACCACUGUGGUAGGUAACAGAUGAAGGUUCGGUGAGGUAAGGCCCACAGCACUCAGUACCGACAGCCUUUGUCACCGCAAGGUAAUAUUUUCCUUGAGGCGCUGGGAGAGGGAACAAAGUGUGAAAGUGGCUGGAAGCACGCAGAACGCAGAGGGGAUAUUAAUCACUUUGGAGGGCUUUGUGGGCGGGGCUUGGGCUGAGUGUGGGUGGAGGAGGCAGGGCUGGGGGAGGGGCGCCAGCGAGGAGAGGACGCUGUCCCUGCCCCAGACCAUAAUCGGCCUGGGGACUCACUGCCAGAUGAGGCCAUGACUCUUCCGAAAUGGAAUUCCUGGGUCAGAGUAAGGAGAGCAGAUGUUUACUGGAAGACGCCAAGGACUGCUGACAUCACCCAGGGCCCCCAGGAUGCGGAAAGAGGCCGGGGUCCUCCAUCCUUACUUGCCAAGGAGCAUUCCUGGGGCAUGCGCCAGGGCUGGGGGUGGACACGCACACAGAUGCAGGCAUCACACACCAGUUCUUGCCACCUGAACACAAUUACUCAAGAUAUGGAAACGAUUUACAUCUUGAAAGGAGAGAAGAGCCGCUGGCCGACAGACUUCUUCGUGUGGACUGGUCCUUUGCAGAAUUGCAGGGGCGGCCUUUCUGGCUGGCGAGCUGUCGGGGGUCCUUGGCCAGGGAUGGAGAUGACCGUCGUCAUGCCCCUCUCCCUUCCAUGGACACAAGCCAUCCUUUAAUAUCUACUUUGGGGGUGGAUCUGGAGGAGAGACUGUUUCCAUCCUUCCUCUGCAGCCUGUCCCUCACUGAAAGCUGUCCUCAGACCCAGAUUCCUGUGACAACAAGCAACAGAAAACCUAGUGUAAAUCAGCUCAGACCAAAAGCCUCCAUCUUGUAUUCCUUUGCCUGCUUCCCUACGUGGCCCGCCUCAACAGCGCACCUGUGCCACUUGGCACCAACCAGGACACCAGAGCAUAGAGAGGGGGACAUUUCCAUGAGGUUGCACUUAGACUCUAAGCCUGUUCUCAUGGGUUCAGUUUGGGUCACUGGUAGAGGUUUGAGCACCAACACUGUGGCAGAAGCAGGGAGCAGAGCUUUGAUUGGUCAAAUAGAUCACAUGACUGCUUCGGGUGGAGUUUGCUAUCUGAACCUCUGGGAGUGAGGCAUGGCAGCUCUGAUGAGGGUGGCGUGUGUGUGUGUGUGUGUGUGUGUGUGUGUGUGUGUGUGUGUGUGUGUGUGUGUGUGCGCGCGCGAGCGCGCGCCUGCCGUGCAUGUGUCAUUUUUCAAGCUCUGCCCACGUUUGGGUGGAGAGAGAACUGACUCUUUCUCUGGCCCGUUUCUAGUGGACAGUGAGACCUCAGCACCCACCUAUGUCUGCCUCCCAAAUGCUGAGAUUCAGCGAACCCCGUCACCACUUUUUUUUUCACGUGAGUUUUGGGGGAUUGAACUCAGGUCCUCAAGAUUGCAAAGCAAAUAACUUUGUCAAUUGAGCCACCCUAAGCCCACAUUUCUAUGCACCUGGUGCAUAUGCACCAGGUCAAGUCUAGUGACUGACCUAGACCAUCUAUGUGAGUGGAGAGGAAGUCGGAAAGAUACAUUUCUUAUAAUGUGUCCUGUCACGAGCACAAGCUUCACUGGCUUCUAAGUUGUAUGGAGUUGAAACAAAUUAGGUUGCAGCUUCAACAAGUGGCGGGAGGCAGUGCCGCACAGCUGUGGCUGGGCUGCAUGGGGCACUGGUGCUGCUCCCUGCUGUGGCUCCCCAUUUGGUUACGAGUUCUCCAGGAAGCUUCCUGAGCCAGUAAUAGGAGUCUGGUCCCUGGAGACCGUGAUGGGUGCUGUGGGGUAUGGUUGGACUCAGUGUUCAGGUGAAGGCGCGGGCUAUUGUGACGCUUACUACUGCCAGCCAGCCUUUCCUUUCUAAGUUCUUACUUGGGGAAAGAGGGGUGCCUGAGCUCCCUGGACAGUUGGGACCCUCCCACCCCCACUCUUUCUUUCUGCUGCCAUUUCCCUUCACAGCUACUUAGGAGGGAAGGCAGCCAAAGGCCUGUUAGCAGGGGGGCGGGAGGAAGGAGCUGAUGGAUUUUAGUCAGACACAGACCCAGCUCUCUGCCACUGCUGGCCCGUGCUUGCCUCUGGAGGGCACCAGCCUUCUUUCACUUCCUGAGCAGCCCCUGGCAGCCAUGGUGCUGGUGAGGGAUCCCAGCUUUGCAGAAGCAACGGCUUUUCACACUGAGGUGUGUUCUACCCAGAAGCCUCAGGUCUCAAGUCCCAGUCUCUGGCCUCAGGGUCCUCGGGAGCACCCGGCAUUGCCUCAGGGUUUGCACUGAAUGGAGAAGGUGGCUCACAGCCUGCUUCAUGGACCUGGGUAUUGGAUGGAAAAUUGGAUCAGGACUCCUGUGUGACCUUGGGUAGAUCCCUUCACCUCUCUGAACCUGAGGUUUUCUGCUUAGGACUAAUGCAAAGAAAAUAUGGGUGGAUGUCACCCACCCGGGUACCAGGCUCUCCCGGCUCCAUGCUGGAUCCUUGCACAUCCUGGGACUCCAGUGGAUUUGUCUUGGUGGCUUUACAAUGGCUUACAGUGUUCUGUCUUUCUUAAAUCAUGAAGUGUCUUAAAUGUCUUUGUGGAAAAUAAAAUGCUUACAUAGAACAAAAGGAGAAAAUGGAGCACAUUUUAGCACAUAACUUACACAACUUGCAUGUUUAUGCAAAUACUCUUAUGGAAAGGGUCAUGCUAUAAUUUCUUUCAGAUUGUUUUUCCUAUCAAUGUAUCUGUCUGUCUAUCUAUCUAUCUAUCUAUCUAUCUAUCUAUCUAUCUAUCUAUCUGGCAUGUAACCUUCAAUGUUCUUGUACCAGCAUAAUCAACUUGGGAUACGUGUAGAGGUCAGGGUCCCCAGCUUCUUCAAAUUCCUGGGCCCAAUGGUGAGGUGGAAGUUGUAGGUGGGGAUGAAGGUGAAAGAGGACAGAGGUUUAGAGAUGGUGUGGCUGGGGCCUCUCCCAGGAGGCUCUGCGAGGCAUUGGGAAGUGAGUUUGUUUGAGUGCAGGGGCUACAGUCAAGAGCAUGCUCUGUCAAGGGCUGUGGGUGUUAGAAAAAAAAGGGUGUGGAAGAAGCACUCUUUGGUCCCCACCAUGUGAGGAGUCAACAGACCAUCGGUUUUUAAUCUGUGGCUCGUGACCCUUUCAGAGGGGUCACCUAAGACCAUUAGAAAACACAGAUAUUGGGGUUGGGGAUUUAGCUCAGUGGUAGAGUGCUUGCCUAGGAAGCGCAAGGCCCUGGGUUCGGUCCCCAGCUCCGAAAAAAAGAACCAAAAAAAAAAAAAAAAAGAAAACACAGAUAUUUAUAUUAUGACCUAUAACAGUAGCAAAACUACAGUUAUGAAGUAGCAACGAAAAUAAUUUUUAUGGCUCCACAACGUGAGGAACUGUAUUAAAGGAUCGCAGCAGUAGGAAGGUUGAGAAACACUGCAACACACAAAGCAGUGCAGUCUCACAAGAGAAGAAGCUGGGUUCUGUGCUGCCGAGUGAGUUAGACUGAGUGCAGGCGGUUGGUGGAUCAGGAUUGCAGGGUGCACGGAGUCCCUCAGCAAAGAAAGGGCUUUGAAGACUUCAGGUUAGGAGCUGAAAGGAGAUGGUGUUUCUAGACUGAGAAAGAAAGGUCCUGAAGGAGGCAAGGAGGAAGAGAGGAGCACACUGUGACCACAUGCUGUUGCAGAGGGAGGUGUCAGAUUGGAGGAGAUUUGUACUCCUUGGAAGGGUAGUGCACAUGUAUGCUUGUGGCAUUAAUAUGUGUACCUUUAUGUAUUUGUGUAUAAACUCGGUCACAUUGCAAAAGAGAUUUUAGGUGCCUUGACUUUAGACCAAGAACAAGACCUCGGGAGGAAAAGAGUAUGAUUCUAUAAAAGAGAAAAGAUAUAUUUUCCAGGGUUUAUUCCCCAACUGCCAGAAAUCCCUGUGAAAAGUUUGCUUAAGCAAAGAAGAAUUGGUUAGUUAAUUGGAGGAGGAGAAGGAAGGGGAGGAGCAAGAGGAGGAGGAAGAAGAGGAGGAGGGGGAAGAGGAGGAGGGGGAAGAGGUGGAGGAGGAAGAGGAGGAAGAGGAGAAAGAGGAGGAGGAGGAAGGGGAGGAGGAUGAGGAGGAGAAGAAGAAGAGUUAGAUGACAAAGAAAAAGAAAAUGAGGAAGAGGAAGAGGAAGAGGAAGAGAAGGAGUACUGAAGAGAUGGCUUAGCAGUUCAGAGCACUUAACUGCUUUUGUAGGAGACAUAAGUUCAUUUCCCAGCACCCAAGUCCAAGAUUGAUUCACAAUCACCUAGCAUUCAUGGAUCUGACUCCUUCUACUUGCCUCUUUGGGUGCCUUCAUUCAUGUGCACACACAAUUAGUUAAGAAUAACAAUAAAAUCAUUUUUCAAAGAAUAAGAGAAAAGAGAGCUCAGAGAUUUCUGGUUCCAGGCAUGGCAGGAUCAAGAGGUUCAAAUGCAUUUUCAAUCUCUUCUCUUUCACUUUCUUAAACUCUUGGCUCCAUGCUCUGUGCUGAUUUUCUUCUCAGGCUUGCUCAGUGAGUGAGAAAGUAAUGGCAGAGUCAGUCGCUCCACAUUCUCACAGUUUUGCCCUCAGAGGAAACAGCUUUUCUAACAAUACCAACAAUAGUUCCUGGAUGUAAAGCAUUAAUGUCUUAAUCUGUUUUUUGUUCUUGUGACAAAACACUGGAGACUGUGAUUUACAAAAAAAAAAUGGGAGGGAGUUAUUUAGUCUUUUAGUUCUGGAGACCCAAGAAAUCCAAGAUCAGAUGGAUGUCUCACAGUGGUUUGCUCCCACUCACUGUGGAGAGUGGAAGGCAGAGGGAGGAAGUUACUCCUUAACCUGUGCUCCUGACCCCGUCCCCAGGCCUCACCUCCCAGUACCUCCCAGCACCUCCCAGCUUCAUGGACAGAUGAUCUCAGCCUCAGCUGCAUGUUGGGAGUACGUAUUCAAAUCAUAACAACUGAUUUGUGCCUGCUGUAGUUGGGCUUGAGCCAUUCUGCUGGGCUUGGUCAGGGUUAUAGUUCUUUCUUUCCUGUGACAGAGAAGGUGGUUCCUGAGGCCUCAGAGGAGGGCUGAGGAGGAGGUUAGGGCAGGGAUCAGCAGCUGGGUGGCCUAAGAGGGAGGAUGGAGAGAGCAGAGGUAGGUGGGGGCAGGAGAGCCUCUCUUAGCAGCCCUCCCCCAUUCCUAGGCUGGACAGGGUGGUGAGGUGGUUGGCAGGCUCUAGAAGCAGUCAGGAGUUGGGGAGGGAAGGGUCAGGGAUGGGAAGGGUCAGGUGUGGAGAGGCUCAGGAAUGAGGAGGGUAGCUGAAUACUGCUGUCUGAGAGCCCUUAGGCUAGGAAGAAAGAUGUGGGGAAAGUCCUGGAGUCACCAAGGACUCAGGAGGCAGAGGCUAGGACUUCUCUCAUCUGGGGAAGGCUAGAUGCAUGGCAGGUGAGAGAUGAGUGUGUGUGGCUCCUGGAGCCCACAGUGAGAGCAGGGGGGAGCCAGGCUAGCGUUUAGAUAUGCUUUCUGUGGCAUGUGGAUGAAAGAGGGCCGCAGGCUGGCCGUGUCAGGGGAUGGGGAUCCUAUUCUACUGGGUGAGUGUGGGUAGAUCAGGGCAGGGUAGGAUGAAGGAGGAGACCAUCAUUAAGGACCAAAUAAACACCCUUUUAGAUAGUGGUAGAAACUGGGGCAAAACGCCCAUUGGUAAUGAGGCCACACACAGCCGACAGUGUGUGUGUCCGUGUGUCCGUGUCCAUGUGUGUGGAUGAUGUGUGUGUUGCUGUGAGCAGCAUAUUUGUGUACAAUGGAUACGAGCAUGCAUGAAUGAGGCAGAUGGUUGAUAUUUACACACAAAUGUGUACACAUGAGUAAAAAAUACACAGUAAGCUGGGUGUGGUGGCUCUCGCCUUUAGUCCCAGAACUAAGGAGGCAGAGGCAGGCAGAUCUCUGAGUUUGAGGCUAGCCUGGUCUACAGAGUAAAUUCCGGGACAGCCAGGGCUCCACAGAGAAACCUUGUUUCAAAAAACCCCUCCGAAACCAAAGCAACAACGCCAAAAAGAAAUACACAUGUACACGUGUGUAAUGCAUGGGAUACAUGCAUGGGUACAUUAUGUAAUGCAUGCAUACAUGUAAAGUUUGUGUGCAUGUUUUAUGUGUGCGAUGCAUGCUUGUACAGGAUGCUGGGGGUGCAUACAUAGGAAUGAUCACACAUGUUUGAUCACACAUGUGUGAUCAAACAUGCAUGUUUGUUCAGCUACCCAUGUGAUGUAUGUGUGUAUACUGAUGUGUGGGUGCUUGCAUGCUGUGUCCAUUUGCAUGCUGGGAGGCCAUUUGAGUGUACUUCAGUGUGGCUGGGCCCCUGAAUGGAGGCACAGCCAUCAGACACCUGCUCAUCACUGAGACUCACCCAACCUGCAAUGCCUUUCGCAUGGCUGGGGGAAGCAGAAGAGGAGGCUGCAGCUUGGGGCACGCAAGGUUAAGUCAGCAGAUGGAUGGGCUUUUCUGCCUAGUGCUCAGCCCCUCAACACUCUGCCUUCUCCUUGGACUUAUGGGUUCAGCUUUCCUAGAAGGUCCUUCAGCACCUUGUCCACAAAAGUCCAGCGUUCCACAUCUCGAAACCAGGGAGGCAAACUUGUCGUCCCUCCAGAGGGGAAGGGCUUGGCAUUUCUCCUCUUCCCUGGUCCUUGGCCUCAGACCUUGGCAAAUGCUAGCUGCCUGACCAUAGCCCUUGUCUUCUAAUCAUCAAGAUUCCUGUGGGCCCAACCCCUGCCUAAUAUCUACGGUGUGUUUUGUCCCUCCGCCCCGCCCCCACUUCCUAGUGAGAAGCUUCCUGUUGCUGGGUCAGUGGUCAGAGGAACUGACCUUCCUGUGGCCUUCCUCAGGCAUGGGUCUCCAAGCACACAACACCUGGGACACCUUCCCGCCUCUCCCUGUCCCUGGCUCCUCUCACAGCUCCUCCCUCUCUGCUUCAGCCUCCUGCGGUUUUAAUGAGGGUUCAGCCUCCUGUGCUUGCAGCUCUGCAGCAGUAUGCUUAAUUAAUAAUUCCUCACUGCAGUUUCUCAGUGGAAAUACUGCCAUUUUCCCUCACUAAUUGGAAGAGCUGGUUAAGCUCCAAGAUGAACGACCCUUUCUGCUGGGGUGUCUUUGCCUGGAGUCUCCAUCAGGGUGGCUGGGCUUGGCCAGGAGCUGCUGGUUUGCCUGAGCAAGGGUGCUGAGCUCAAAGGCCAGGAAGACAACUUGCCCCAUCCUACAUGUGCAGGGACAGCCCUUUCAGGGCAGAGAUCUGGCCCAGUCAGGACUGAUUCCUGACCUUUGGAGAGGACAUGCUUACGGUAAAUCUGGGGAGCAGCAGAGCCUCUCACGGGCCAUUACCCAAUCCGAGCAUCUCUGCUCCACCCAGCUUCAGGGAGCACGAGUGUGGACUUCUGGAACCUUCCCUUGGCCUAGCCUAUUGAUGUCCCCAUUCACUAGACCUCAGGUCCACCUUGGCCUGCAUGCACUACUCUCCUUCCUUGGCACAGUGUCAUUUGGCCUUGGUCUUAUGACAGACAGGUCCUUAGCAAGAUGUGUGCUCUCAGUUCCUGUGAGCUCAGUUCUUAUCCUUCAGAGAAGCAAGGGAACCUAAGUUACACUGUACCAUAGUUGCUGGUCAUUCGGGGGUUGGGCAAUAGAUUGAGGGUGCCUGCUGAGGGUUGCUGACAAUAUCCUGCUUACUGUUGGUUGUCAAUCUGAUGAGAUUUAGAAUAGCCAUGGAAACACACCUCUGGGUAUAUUUAUGAGGGAGUUUGACAAAGGUUUAACCAAGAUGCCAGGAUCCAUCCUGAAUGUGGUGGAAUCUCUCUCCCUCUCCCUUUUCCUCUCCCCUCUUUUCUUCUCCCCUCCCCCUUUCUCACUCUCACUUUCCCCACCCUUUCCCUUGUGGUUAGGGUUGAGGUUGAGGGGAAGGGAUAGACUUUAAGCUCUGGCUGAAACCACACAAACUUGGUGGGGGAGGGGAGGUAGAGUUGACUAUGAGUAGGCUUCGGGGAACAGAACAGGUUCCAGUUGGACAGAAGGCUUCUAGCUGAAGAGUCCCUGGGCCUUGGGCUCCCAGGCAGUGCUGAAGGGCCAGUCAUGUGUCCCUUUUGGCUCUUGGUUGGCCCUGCUACUGGAAGGUUCAUGAACAGGAAUGUCUGAGUUUGGGGGUUCCUGCUGGCAUGAGGGCUGAGAAUGGCACUUCUGGGUACAUGGAGAUGCAGGUACUCCUUAGAAGAGAGUACUCUUCCAGAGUCCAGGGAUUUUCAUUCCAUCCUGGGUCACCCGUGUUGAGCUCUGCUACACCUUACCUUCAGCAGGCUUUGUUUUCCUCGUGUGCAAAAUGGGACAGUCUAGUGAUGACCUGGCCGUGUCCAACUGAUGGGGGAGGACAACAUCUAGGAUGUCACAGAGAUGUGCAGGCCGGAGUAGUGAGCAGGAAGGCUUGGGAGGAGUUCUGAGCUCUCAGUGGAGCCCAGCAGAUUUACUACUCUUGUUUCAAAAAGAGAGGGGAAAUAGUGUGUGCUUGGCUGCUCUGUGGGUUGGGGGAGGAGCCUCGCCCUGACCCACUCCCUGCACACCCACCUCCUGGGCUCACUUAGCUCAGAGCUGGCAGCUACCCAGCUCCAAGUGAGACGUGGCAGCCAGGAUGCUGAGGCCCAGCCAAGCCCCAGAUGGCUGGCGUGAGGUGCUUCCCCCAAGCUGAGCAAGACAAGGACAGGCCCUGACCUGGUGGGAGGAGCAGGAAGGGGACAGAAGUCUGUGGAAUGCCAUCUCUGGCUUUGGCUCUGGCCCAGCCCUGCACCCAAUCUGAAGUCUCUAUGUAGAUGCAGCGGUCUAAAACUUGGAGUUUGGCUUACUGGGGUCCAUGCAGCAAGGAAAGCUUCAGAGGUCCUUGCUCAGAUUCUGAUUGGGAACAUUUAUGCUGGAACUCCCACGCUCCAGCCCCUUCCAGGCCAUCUCCUGGCUCCAUGUGUGUGUACAUGUGUGUUAUGUCUCUGUGUGUAUGCAGUGUUCAUAUGCAUAUAAAUUUUUAAAUACUUUGCUUAUCACUGAACUUAUAAUGGAGUUCCAUCCAAACCAGCAUACCACAAAUAAAACUAUUGUAAAUCAAAAUGUUUGUGGAGCCUGAAGAAAUAGCACAGUCAUGGGACCAGAGUUGGCAUCCCAGCACUCGGGUAACAAGCCAGGACUCUCAUGCAUGGCCAGAAGGAGAAGGUCACAGUACUGCUGAGCCUCUUGGUCUCCAGUCUAGAGGAGAAAACCAAAGUCCCAGGAGGCUCAGAGAGAGACUCUGCCUCAAAGGAAUAGUUGGGAGUGACAGAGGAGGACACUGGCACUCUCUUCUGGCCUUCACACACAUGCACAUACCAGACACACAUGCACAUAAAUAAACAUCUUGAAAAAAAUGAAAAAAGUACUCGUAAGUUAGGAACCAUCGAAUUUUAGCCUAGCUUGCCUUAAGCAUACUGAGGACGCUUACAGGAGCCUACCAGAGCAUGCCCUACACAGGCACCCAACAUGGCCCAUCUCAUGCAGUUACAGAGUUCUCCUUGUGGCCACAUGACUGUCAGGUGUAGCUCACUGUGAUGCCCAGCACUACACAAGAGGAGGUUGCUACACGGAGCCUACGUGGGAGAAGAUCUAAACUCGAAGUUCAGGUCUGACUGGAUGCAUGUUAAUUUCACACCAUCGCACAGUAGAACAUUGGUUAAAUCAUAAAGAGAACCAUUGUGAGCCUGGUGCUGUUUUAAAAAUAAAUAUUAUAAUUAUUUGAAUAUAUGUGUAUAAGAUGUGUGUGUGAAGGGGAGGGGGUGGAAGAAAGGGGAGGGUGAGGGUAAGGGAGGGGGGAGAGGGAGGAAGGAGAGAGGGGAGGGGGAGAAAGCGAGCACAUGCCAUGGCUCAUACAUGCAGGCAGAGGACAGCUCUGUGCACUUAGGUCUCUUCUUCCACCUUUAUACCCCAAGACUAACACUCAGGUCACCAGGCUUCACCUGAUGCUUCAGGUAAAGAUGGUGUUGUUUCUUGACUGGCCAGGUUUCCACACUGUCUCUUGACUUCCUGUUGUAGGUGAUGAGACAGAUCCACUGUCUGUCCCUCUUCUAUCCAUUCAAAACAAUUUUGUCCCCACUCUUAGCCCACAGUUUCCUGUGACCACAGUGAUGAAUUACCAUAUACCCAUUGGUUUAAAACAAUGAAUAAAGGUUUAUUCUUCACUCCCAGUACUGGAUAUGCAAAUUUCAACAAGAUAGACUUGUAUGGCUGGUCCCAUGCUCUCCACAGGUUCUGGGUGAGGAGCUGUUCUAUGCCUUCCUUGGCUCGCUGGCAUAUUAUCAGCCUUGAAGGCUAACAUGUUCACUAUCUCCCUGCUGUCUUACGGCCCUCUCUGUAUCUGUCUACCCUUCUUUGGCUGCUUUAAUGGCUAGUUCAGCCUGAUAUAGCAAGAAGCCAGUAGGCAGAAACAUUAGAACUGGGUGGGAUUCUGGUUAAAGUCACUGUGCUAGAUUGUGACAGAUGCCUGAGAGAAACAAUGGGAAGGUGGUUUAUUUUGACUCCUGCCUUCAGAGGCAUCAGUCUUUGCUUUGCUGGCUCCAUUGCUGUGGGCCUGUGGCAAGGCAGAGGCAUUGUGGCAGAAGGUCAUUGUGGGAGAAAGCUGCUUACUUCUUAGCAGCCAGAAAACAGAGAGGUGGAGGGGAGAGAGGGAAGGGCAGGGGGAAAUACCCUCUAAAGGCCUGCCCCCAGUAACCCCACUUCCUCUCAGCCCCCAUCUCCUAAUAGCUCACUCAGAAUGACCUCAUCAUCAAUGAAGCUACCAGAUUCACAGUCCAAUCACUUCUCAGUAGUGCCCCCGGCUGGGAACAAAGUCUCUAACACAUGAACUAUUUGGAGGGAGGGGCACCUUAUAUUUGAACCUAAUGGGACCCUUGCACAUCCUGGUGGGUCGGGAUCCUGCUCAGGUACAGAAGGCGGUAUUCUUUCUAACCUGAUUCACAGUUCUAUGCCCAAAUGAUUUUUACCAGGAUAUGAACAGAAAGACUGGGUCCUGAUGAAAGUUUGACCCAACAGAGAGUCUCUGGCACUGUCUCCUGUUCCUGUUCCUUGUUGUCACGGGUCUCAGUUUAUGGUGAUUCAUUGCAUGAGCCCCACAGCUGUUUGACCCUGGCUGUUUGUUGAGCAAGCGGUUGAACUACACUGAGCCUGCCCAGUGAGAUCCCGAAGGAUGGUAUGGGGCGGGGGAGGGGCUCGGUUGGUAGCCCAGUACAGGGCAGAUGUUGGACAAGGCUCUUCCAGAGAAAUGUUCCAGAAGCUGUUCCUUCUGAGCUGAGAGAGCCAGGCCCUGGGUUAGUACAGCAUUUCUAGUUGCAGGGGGCUAAGGGACAAACAUCUGUUGAACAUACACACAGCACAUCUCUCUCUCUCUCUCUUAUAUAAUUUGCUUUGGGGAGUAGUUUUGAGAAACUGUUUCCUGUUGUUGAGCCAGUGGACACCAAAGCCCUGCUCUGCCAUUGGGGGUGGUUCUGGCAUGGACCUCACUCAGAUGGAAAGCGGGAAAGGCCAGGGGUGGGGGAGUUAGUUGGUAGGUGGGCAGCAGCAGGCUGGGGGAAGAGUGCCCGCACAGAUGGGCUACAGCUGCUGUGCUAGGCAAGGUUUUCCUGGUCCCAGCAGGGUGGCCGUGGCCUUUCACUGUCCCCAGGAAGUGACCAAGGCUGUUGAAGUUGGGGGAUAGGUCUGAAGGUGCUUGAGCAACUUGGGUUCCUUCUGCGAGUUCUCUAGGGUAAAGGUCAGGCCUGUGCUAUGUCUCUGAUACCAGUGGGAUAAGCAGUGUCUGCAGGUAUCUGACUUGGGAUUGCUCUGGGGGACCUUGUAUGACACAAAACUCAAGUAUACGGUUCUUGCUCCAGCCCUGUCUACAGACCUAUGGCCCUGGGUCUUUGGCUGCUGUAGGCUGUGGACCCUGGGACUGCGCUGCCUCUCUGGAUGGCUCAACUGGGUUCUCUCCAUAUAACCCUACAUGCAUAUUGGCUCUUUUUUUUUUGGUUCUUUUUUUUUUUUUUUUCGGAGCUGGGGACCGAACCCAGGGCCUUGCGCUUCCUAGGUAAGCGCUCUACCACUGAGCUAAAUCCCCAGCGCAUAUUGGCUCUUAAUUGGCUAAAGGUAGGGGAAUUUUGAAUGAAUAGUCUUGACACUUCCCUGCUGGGUUUGUCUUGCCUCUCACACAUUUCUGUAGACAAGAAAGCCACAGAAUUCCUGCCCACAACCAGGUCAGAGUACUCUAGGACUGGGACAGACAGCUGUGAGAGCUAGGGACAGAAACCUGCUCCUCGGGGUCAGGAGCCUUGCCUGUGUCUACACUCACAGAGAAUUAAUGGGCAUCUGAGUUAAAGAGCAGAAAUGAUACCUCCAAGCUCUGGCAUGGGUAAAGCCAUCAGAGCCCUUGGGGAGGUAGGAAGUGAGGUGAGGGGCCUUCAGGAGGAGAGGGUCCCCAGGAUCCACUCAAAAAUUCAGCUGGGGCUAGAUUCAGUUAGUAAAGUGCUUACUUGAGGGCCUGAAUUUGAUCCUCAGAAUCCAUGGGAAAAGAACAGAUGUGAACAAAACAAAACAAAACAAAACAAAUAAAAAAUGUUAGGUGUCCUUGGGUACACUUGCAAUCCCAAUACUGGGGAGAUAAAGACAGGCAGGUCCAUGGGGUUUGCUGGCGAGUCAGUUCAGACAGACUGGUGAGUUCCAGUCAAUUGAUAGACCCUAUCUUAAAAGCCAAGAGUUAUACCCCGGGAAAUGACAACCAGGUGCAUCUCCAUAUGCAUGUGUGCACACAAGCACCUGCAUAUACACACACACUUGCACACACAUAAACACAGAUUUAAGGAACCCAGCAGAACAUAUCUGCUGGACUUACCACCAUAAAGAAAAGGCACUUCCCUGAGUACUCUCAAGCUUGACUCCCCUCUGCUGAACACAUCGUUACCACUUGGGUAGAUCUUGCAAAUACACUUUAAAAGGAAUUCCUCUACACAUCGUGACCUAGAAUAAGAAGAGGAGAUGUAUACUGUGCGAGGCUUGGGGUGGUCAUCAUGGUACUCUUGCUUCCCUUACCCGCUCUCACCCUUCCUCUAUAAGUAGGGAGGCCCCUUCUGUCUGUCCUCCACCUGCUUCUGGAGCCGUGCAGCUCUCUUUCCAGCUGGUGUGUCCGACCUUUCCAGCUGGCAUUUCGAGUACUCUCUCUUGGCGCCUCCGAGUUCUGCGGAUCCCGAGGCGGUCAUUUGUCAGAUGGUCCCGACAUCCCUUCAGAGUCUCCUGCUGGGAAAACAAUUGUGUCAGACAAUCUCAGUGGCUUUCUUUCCCCUCCAAGCAGGCAACCCAAAUGCUCUAAACCAGAGGGAAAUCAGAGCCCGAGUGUUCUCAGGAUGUAUACUCUAUUCUUCAGAUUUUUUCCUGUAGGCUGUGAACUGUGUGUGCCAGAUACCUGAGAGGGAAACCAUUCUAACGUAGGGGAAACAGGCCUCAAAGCCAAGCGACUUUCUUACUUGCUAUGUGUUUGAAGGUGCCAGACACUGGUUUGGCAUUUGUUAGGAUUAUGCUAACUUUCUGUUGCCAGUAACUCAAAAGUCACAGACUGGGUGAGGUACAUAGAAAGGAUGUUCAUUUUGAUCCCCUGAGGUAGAAGUUCAAGGUCAAGGGUCUUACGUGGUGAUGGCCUUCUGCCUGUAGCUUACAUCAUAAGGCCAAAGUCACAUACCCAUACAUGGAUCGGUAUAUGGGUGUCUGUUAGUCUCUUUCCCUCUUCUUAUGAAACUACCACGACUCCCCUCAUCCUAAUCACCUUCACAAGGCCCUGCUUCUAAACACCUCACUCUGGAUUGCAUCCUCUUACACAGUACCUUUGUUUCAUUUCUGUUGUGGUAAAGUGCCCUGGCAAAAUCAAUUUAAGGGCUUAUAGUCCAUCAUGCAGGGAAGUAACAGUGGGAGGAGCGUGCAGGAGCUGGUCACAUUGCAUUUGUAGUCAAGAAAUAAUGAGUUAUGGGUUAAAGAAUACACUAUGAGCUUGCCUUUUCAUCCUUUGACAUUCUGGAUUCCCUGCCUAGGGAAUAGUGCCACCCAAAGUGGUUAGGUCUUCUUACCUCAAUUAAUAUAAUCAAGGCCCACCAUUCAGAAAUUUUGCCAGGCACUCUAAUCUAGACAGUCUUUCAUCAAGACUCCUUCCCCAGGUGAUUCUGAAUUGUGUCCUGUUGAUUAAUUACAACUAGCCACCAUGCACAAUGAGGCUCAAACACCAGUCUGAGAUCGAAGGGACCAAGUCACACACAGAUCCAAUAUGGAAGUCUCCUGAGGUCAGAUCAGCAGGGUAGUGGCCCAAUAAAGAAACCAGCCAUCACGAUUGGGAAAUAGUAUCACGAAGAAACAGAACAGGACGGCAGAGCAGAACAUGAUGGGGGGGAGGGAUACUUGUAAGCCAAGUCCUUUUGAAGGGGAGACAUCUACAGAGACCUGGCCUUCUGGGAGAUGCUUGUCACAGAUGGAACUAACUGCAGGUGCAAAGGCCCAGAGGCAGGAGCUGAGCUGAAGUGUGCCAAGGACAUAAGGAAGACCUCCAUGACCAGACUGAGAAAGAAAUGAAUAGUGACGAGGUCGGUCACGUGGUAGGAAGCCACCGGAGGGUUCUGAGCAGGCGGGUGACAGUUCUGAUUCCCGUUUUAGCGAUUCUCUUGCGUAGCCAUGCAGAGAUCGGAGAACGAGGUCAGAGAGGCUCAGUUACCCUGGCUGCUAGCCUGGCAUGCUCACGGCACUGUAGGCAGAUGGUACAGCCUGGCUUGGGAAGUCCCUGCAAUGGUGAGCCUCCAAGUCCUGGCUGUCAUAAACUCUUAGGUAGAGUUUCUAUUCCUCUGCACGGAGAUUCUGGUGGGAUAAACGCCUGUCUUGGGGUUGAUUGGGUGCAAGACCCUUUAGAGGACCAGAAGGACUCAUGGACCCCUCUCUGUAGAGAAGCUCAUAGCCUCUCUGUUGGGGUGGCUGCCAGCACAAAAUGGGAGGGAUUGCUGAGGGCAGGAACCUACAUCCACAGUGUGGAUGGCUGCUGCCCAUACCAGCAGAGCAGGGGUCUGCACUGGGCUCAGGUUGGGCUCAGGUUGGCUGGCCAUGGGCUUAAUAUUUCCCUCUGUCUUACCUGAUCUGGUGGGAGUCUUCCUUCUAGGCUCUGGGUUUACACAAAGGAUUCAGGUCCAAGGCUGGUACUGAUUAGAACUCUGCCCAGCAGCUGACCAACCUCUACUUGCCUGUAGUGUCUCUCAUAAGGGUUCAUUCCUCCUGCCUCAGGGCACUGGCUCCUGUUUGAUUUAUGCUGGCAAAAAUGUUGGGCUCUCAGUGCCCAUAAAAGUGCAUGGUCAUGGGAGAUGGAUGGUUUCACAGAUGCUUCCUUCUGGGGUUGCUGUGUGGAUGUCAGGAGCAUCUGCCUGGCACUGGAUACCAGAGCUUUAGUAAGACUGGUAGACAGGGAGCACAUCUUCCCUUGAUGUGUUUAAGGGCAGCUACCUUCCUCCACCGUCCCUUGCCUGGACUAUGGAGAGCACUCAGGGCCUCUACUUGUUCACACUCUUCCCUGGUCAUGAGGGUCUAUGCAGAAUUCUGAAUGUGCAAGUAUGCGAGUGUGUGCCCCGUGAGUCUGUGCAUGUGUUUGAGUGGGUUUGCAAAUGUGUGCUUGUGUAUCAGUGUGAGUGUGUAGUCAAAUAGUGGGUAUGACUCUGUGUGUUUGUAUGUGUGUUGAGCUGUAUGUGAGAUCAAGUGGUUAUAGUUGAGUGUUUUGAAUGGUGUUUGUUCUGUGUGUGGCUUGUGUGUGAGUGUGUGCUUGCAUGACAUGUCUCUGUGUGAAUGUGUGUGUGUGUGUGUGUGUGUGUGUGUGUGUGUGCGCGUGUGUGUGUUUGUCUUAGUUUUCUGUUGCUAUAACAAAGUACCCGAGGCUGGGUAGUUUAUAUAAGAUAGGCGUUAUUUGAUUUGGCCUUCUGGAGGCUGGGACAUUGAAGAGCAAAGCAGCAGUACCUGGCCAGAUUCUAGGGCCUUCCUGCUGUCAUCACAUAGAGAGAGCAAGCAUCCCAGCUCAACACUCUUCCUUUUCAGAUAAAACCACUGAUGCUGCAGUGUGACCUCCCCCACCAUGAACUUUUGCUGCCCUCCCAAAGGUCCCCUUCCUGAUGCCAUCAGCAAAUGACUUUGAGAAUUAACUUUCCAGCAUGUGAACUUUGGGGUGUACAUUCAAUGCACCUGGGAAGCCCCACCCAGGGUCCCUUGGCUUCUCAUUCUGGGGUUGGUGACUAUUUGUGGGUAUCAUAUAGGUGCAUGGGUCUGAGUCUGUGUACGCUGUGGGCAUGUACUCAUGGGAGUGCUCCCAGCCAUCAGUUGACUCAUUGCCAGAAUGGGCUGGGGUGGAGCUGCUGCCUUUGAGUCCCUCUCUCUUAUGCUCCAGGGACAUUGCUCUCUUUGGUCCCAGGUGCUGAGCAGAGCUAGACUCUUGUACAUGUGUCCUGCCAGGUGGUUCCUUCCGACCUCUGCCCAUCCCUCUUCAGGCCUCUUUUCCCACCAGGAUCAGUUUUAAAGAUUUCUCCACUUCUGAAAAAGAAAAGUCUAAUUUCAAAGGUUCCAUCACUUUUGUACAAUUUUGUAGUCAUCUGAAUAUAUUCUCCUUGCAAAACCAGAACAUCAGGUGAAGUCCUAGGUCUGAGCCUCCCCUGAGCCUCCACCCCUCUGUGGGGAUGCCAUUUGGACCUCAUUGCCUGUGUUGAUAUGAGCUUCAAUGCACUUAGAGAAAAAGUAUAAAGCAACAUUUGUGUAUUUCUUCCCUUUCUUUAAAAAUGUUACAUAUGUGUCUUUGAAACAUGCACUGUAAUUACCACCCAAUAAUUUGUAUAUUUCACUCAGGAAACACAUCCUGGAGUCCCGACUGUGUUGAUAUGUAGAGGCUGGGCUUGUGUUGUAAGUCCCAGCCCAGCAUUGCUUCAUAUAGAGACACAAAGACUAAGUAACAAUCCCCCACAGCUGAGAACAUGGGUUGUUUUCAGUCGUUUGACCUCAAAAGCAAACUGAGUGCGUCUACUUUCCGCUUAGCUUGGUGGCGGUGUUAGUAAUGGUGGGGGUAGUGAUGGUGUUGUUGUUGGUUAUACGGAGGUGGUGGUGAUGGCGUGCAUACCCUGGAGUGGACCACGUAGGACCACAUUUCAGUGGUGAGAAAUGACAUGGAUCAAGGCUGACUUCGGCAUGUCUGGCUUCUGGGAACACGGGGCUUGGGACAGAGCCAUGCAUGUAGGUCUCCUAACUCUCUCCAGACUUCCCAGCAGACAUGUUAAUUAUUCACUGAUUUUUCCCCCUUCCCUUCUCCCCAAUCUUUUUACUAGGCUUGAAAGUGUUUUUUUCCUCAGAUUCAUUUACUUUUAUUUUAUGUGUAUGAGUGUUUUUCUGCAUAUGUGUCUGUAUACCAUGUGUAUGUGGUGCCUGAGAAGGCCAGAAAAACAGGGGAGUGGAUCCCCUGGGCCUGCUGUUUAGCAGAGAAGUCCAUUGAAACUUGGUGUGAAAGACUGAGUAAGAGUUUCCCAAGCAGGGAGUCCCAGGGCCCAUGCAGAGGCAGCUGAAGGUUGUAGAGCUUGAGAGAACUGAUGAGGCAAAGCCUGGGUGCUCGGGAGUUAAGAGCUGUGCCUGUCCUUGCUCUCCAUUGGCUCCAGCCCCCUUGUCUCUGGUGGGCACGUGGUGCUCACUGGCAAGUUCCACCCGUGGACAUUUGUGAGCAUGGCUUGUGUUCUCCCUCAUGCUUCUCUGGGUAGCGCCCGAGAAAGGCAAAGAGUGAGUUGGUGGCACUCUCAGGACAUCCUCAUAGCUCUCUUCUUGUCCCAAAUCAGGGCUGGCAGUUCCUCUUUUAGCCAGUCACGUCCACCUUGGGGUCCCCAGCUGUGUCCAGGUGCCCUCACCUGGUCUACGUUUGCUGUAGGCAGAGCCCUGUCAAUGCCACACUGCUUGGUUUCUAGAGACAUAUAUUUUGGGCAGUGACUCCCAUCACUUCCUCUUCUUCAAAGUCAUCAUUCUAAAUUUAUAUUAUAUGUAUAGUUUUUCUAGCUCCUUAAGGUGCCAUAUACAUCUUAGAAUAAUUGAAACAACCAAGUUCCUACCUAUGGGAAUGUUUAAUAAUCUCAACAGGAAACUGCACAUGACUUAAUAUUCAUCCCAUGUCUCUAAAAGAUCACUUUGAUAAUUUAAUUAGACUUACUUUAUACCCACAGACCAGCUUGUGAAGAACUGACAUUUUUGCUAUGUGCAGUGUAAAUCCAUGAAUAUGGUAUACCUGUCAUUUAUUUGCAUUUUCUUUUACUUCUCCUUUUCAGAACGUUAUACUUCUUAGUGUACAAAUCCGGUACAAGUAUUUUAGAUUUGUACUCAAACCUGUAUAUUUAAGAAAAUUUAAAUCACCAUAUAUAUUUUGAGAGAGAGAGAGAGAGAGAUGGAGAGAGAGAAAGAGAGAAGAGAGAGGAGACAGGAGAGGGAGGGAGAGAAUGCCAUAGAAUGCCUGUGGAGGUCAGAGGACAACCUGUGGGAGACAGUUCUCUCCUAUCAUGUGGAUCCCCCGCAGCAAACUCAGGUCACCAGGCUUGGUGGCAAGUGCCUUUACGUGUGGAGCCACCUCACCCAGUCCCCAAGUGUAUUGUUUUUGUUUCAGCUUUAUAAAUAGUUUAGAAAUGUAUCCACUUGUAAAUAGUCCCACUUUCCAAGAUUUCAUUGCAAGAACUGGUUGAGCUUUUGUGUUUUGACCUCACAGAACCUAAUCUUCCAGUUCCAGGGAUCAGGCGCGUUGCACAACCAGGCUGGCGAUGAGUAGAGAUAGUCCUGCAGUUCAUAUCUUCUGUGUUUAUUUUUCUUAUUGUACUUUCCAAGACUGUCAGUAGGAGUCCCAGUAUUCAUUUAUGAUGGACACAUUCCAAAUCUUGCAAAACCUUUUUCCUGAGGUCUCACGAAGCUUUAGUAGUUUUUGUAGAAUCUCUUUAUUAAAGUUGACGUAAUUCCUUUGCCUAUUAGGCAACUGAAAUUUUACAUUAUAACUCAUGAAUGAAUAUUGUUUUUAAAUCAUUUUUCUCUACAUCAUUUAUAUAAUUUUUUUCCUUAUUCUGCUAGCAUGGUGCAUUGACAUUAAACCAUUAAAUAAUCAAUCAAUCGGGGUUGGGGAUUUAGCUCAGUGGUAGAGCGCUUGCCUAGCAAGCGCAAGGCCCUGGGUUCGGUCCCCAGCUCCGAAAAAAAUAAAUCAAUCAAUCAGUCAAUCAAUCAAAGUGUUACUCCUGCCUGCAUUUAGUUUACCUUGUUGAGAGUGUAUUAUACUUUUGGUAUAGUGCUGGAUUAGAUGUACUAGUGAUUUACUGAGAGCUGUUAGGUCUAUCUUAGGAGCAGAUUGUUUUGUUUGCUUUUGUUUUUUUUUGUUGUGAGGUAGAGGCUUUAUUAUAUAGCCAGUGCCUACUUGUAUGGUUUGAAUUACCUUAUAAGUGCAUGAGCAAUACUGGAAGAGAAAACAUUAAACUUGAGUCUGGACAGAUGGCUCAGUGGUAAGAGCAGUCGUUGCUCUUCGAGAGGACCAGAGUUCAGUUCCCAGUAUUACAUUAGGCAGCUCACCCCCAUGUAUAACCCUCGCACCACUGGGUCUGACUCCAACUUCUGGCUUCUGCAGGCAACUGCACACAUAAAUGACCAUGCAAUACACACACACACACACACACACACACACACACACACACACACACACACACUCUAAAAUAAAUUUUAAGUCUUAAGAUAUUAUUGAAUUCAACAUGGCCCACUGAACCAACUAAGCAGGGAUCACAUGGGCUCACAGAGACUAAAGCAGAAAGCAGAAGGCUUGCCUGGGUCUGCACCAGGUCCUGUGUGAAUGUGUUAUGGAUGCCAGCUUGGUGUUUUUGUGGAACUCCCAACAGGGAGUGGGUGUGUCUCUGACUCUUUUGCCUCCUAUUGGGUUGCCUUGUCCAACCUCAAUGUGAGGACUUUUGCCAUGCCACAUUGUAUCUCACUUUGUCAUGUUUAGCUGUUGUCUCUAGGAGGGAAACAGAGAAGGAGUGGAUCUGGAGAAUAGAGGAGCUAGGAGGAGUGGAGGAAGCAGACCUGGUGGUAAAACUGUAUCAUAUGAGAAGAGUCUAUUUUCGAUAAAUAAAAAAAUAUUGAAUUCAUUGCUGAGUUUUUUUUUUUUCUCCUGAGGAUUCUGGUCUUCAGUCACUGUGUGAUUGGCUCCAGAGUUCUCUCCUAGAUGCCCUGCAUGCUCAGUCCACACUGCACAGCUGGACCCAGUACCCCAUGUUCUCUGGGAACUCCCCCAUGCUUGCAUGGGCCCUAGAUAGUUUCCCACUUUGGGACCCACUGACUGGGUCACCUAAUCCUCAGGUGUCAGAUCUCAGAUGAGUAAAGAAAUCAAUGUCUUGGAGCCUGAGCGUCACAGUUUGUAAAAUCAUGACUCCUCCUAUUGUCUUCAUUUGAAUUUUCAUUCCUUAAUAACUUCAUAAAGCAGCCAUACCCUGCCUAGUUUAUCUCCAAAUAUUAUAAUUUCAAUCUGCAACAACACUUCAGAAUUUUUGGUGAAAUACCUUCUCUUAAGAAGUAUUUUAUGCGGAUGGAUGUUUUGCUCAUAUGCGUACAUGUGCACCACGUAUGUGCCUGGUGUCCCUGGAGUGCAGAGAAGGGUGUUGGAGACUCUGGAAUUGGAGUUGCAGAGGGUUGUGAGCCUUUGUAUGGAUGUUGGGGGAAAGCAGCCAGUGCUCCUAACCAUUAGGCCAUCUCUCUAGUCCCAUUUUCCUUCUUCCCCCGCCUCCUCUUUUUCUUUGCUUUUGGUAUUGAGUCUUUGAGAUCCUGUUGCAUAUUUUACACACAGAGCAUCUUUCAAUUCAGAUCAGUCACAUGUCUAGCUCACAAUAGCCUCCCCUGCCCAUCACUACUACACUAGACAACGCAGCUCCCAAGACCUGACACUUCAACAUUUCUGCUUCGAAGCACUAGUAAUAAACACGGGUUAGCCUCGUCAAGAUCAGACAGCCAGAAACAAUAGAAUUUAUCUGUGGUGCUGCUUAAUAUGAGGUUUCCUUUACAACUAACCGGAAAUAGAUUGUGGUAUAACCCAUAGAGUAUACACGCACGCGCACAUACAUACACACAAACAUGCAUACACACACUCACACACAGUUGUAAACCACAUAGUGACAUUUUAAUCACUGUUAUAGACAUACGACAAUGGUCUCAUAAGCUUCUGUCACCUAGUGAUGUGGCCAUAGGCGAUGCAUAAUAGCAGGCUUGCCCUAAGGAUGCAUUUGUCAGAAUGUGUCUCAUUGAGUAACAUAUAAGUGCUUGGUGCCACUUUAUAGUGGAAAAACAGGCUGGGAAAGGCCACAUAGCCUCAGAGUAACAGAGUAACAGAGCCGAGAUCAUUUCUAAAGAGUGGUAGCUGUCAUGAUGCUGACUAAACUAAUUGGUUUGACUCUUUUCACAAUCUAUGUGGAUUUAAAAAUACCACAUCAUUUCCCACAAAUAAAAGUGUGUGUGUGUGUGUGUGUGUGUGUGUGUUUGUGUGUGUGUGUGUUGUUGGGUCUAAUUCUUUUCUUCAGCCCGUGAGAUUCGAGGAUGGUGGGUAGUUAAUAGUUAAUACUGACUGGCAACUAGUUGGAUUUAGAACCACCUAGAACACCUACCUCAGGAUGAAUCUGUGAUGGUGUUUCUACACAGUUGUAACCCCGAGCUGUACCCCUGAGUGUGGGUGGCACCAAGUUGAGCUGAGCAUCAGAACUGAGCUCUCUCUCUGCUUCCUGGCUGCAGAUACACCGUGACCAGCUGCUUCAUGUGCCUAUCUCCACGCCUUCCCCACCGUGGUGGACUGUACAUCCCCAGACUGUGAGCCAAGCCAGAUCCUUCUGUCUUUAGGUUGCUCUGAUCAGAUGUUUUGUCAGGGCAGUGAGGAGAGAAGAUAGCUUGGGCUGGUAAGAUGGUUCAGCAGGUGGUGGCCUCAGCUGCCAAGCAUAGCAGCCUCAGGUGGAUCCCUGAGACCCACAGGGAAGAAGGAGAGAAAUGAUUCCUGCAGGCUGCCCUCUGAUGCUACAUGUGCACCGUGGCACACAUGCACAUGUGCAGACACACGAGAACGAAUAAGUGUGAUAAACAAAAUAACAGAAGCAAUCUAGAAGAUAAAGUCACUGGGUCUGUGAGCAAUGCCCUUUGCUUUCUUAUUUCUCUCUGGAAGGCGAAGCCCCCAGAGCUUCCACCCACAUCUCAGUGUGACGUUCUUGUAGCAAGGACCAGUUUAUCCUCCGCGGCCAGGGUGAUGGGCUUGAGUCUAAGCCCAACAGGGAGGUCUGGUCAGAGGCAGCUGCUGUCUGCAACCUGGGGAGGCCCCUGUUCACAGCUGGCACUCAGCCCAUGCAGAACACGCUCCUGCCUCUGGCUUGCGGGGCCCAUCCAACUUCUCACAUCCUUCUUCUGGCUCUGUACAGAUGAAAGGUUCUCUCCAGGGCCAGAGCAAUAACACUUUAUCUGUCUGCUGGCUUGCAUUUCCCAGACUGUUUCCGAAUUAGGUUUUAUGUAUGAGGAUGCUUAAAUAAUAUCAUUGUGUUAAUUUGGAUCUCAGCUUUAAAGUGCAUAUUUGAGCAUACACAUCAUUCCUCCAGAACCAGGGCCCCUUUGUAAAGGGUGUUUGUCCUAAGUGAGAAGUAUUUUUCAAAAGCUUAUUAUGCCAAAAGCACUGUGCUCAGUGUUAGGGACACAGAAAUGAAAGGGGGGUCUGUCCUGAUCUCAGGCGGGUCAUAGGCAAGAGGGCAAGGAAAAAAAAACAGUGAAAAAGAGGGUGAUAAAAGCAAACCAACAGGUACCUAGGAAGGAUACUGUGCCCUUGUAAAUCUCCCAAUCCACAAUUAAACGUGCUUUUGCCCAGCAUACAAAAUACUUAUAAGAAAAUCACUUAUAAGCAUAAGAAAAUAUACUUAGAAGAAAAAUCACUCCAGGAAAGCAGAAAAGUAAAACAAGGAGAAUCAAUUAUGCCAUUUUGGCAUAGACACCGGGGAGACAAUAGUCUCCCCGCAAGGAUGUUCAGGUCCUUGACCCCGGAAUCUUCAAACAUGCUUUGUUAGAUCGUGUUGGGGAAUGAGGACGGCCCACGAAGUAACAGUCAUUCAUUAUUUGCCUUUAAGAGAGGGGAUUAUCCUGGAUUAUCCAAGUGAGCUCGGUGAUUCUUAAAAGUGGAGGUCAGAGUCAAGGAGAGGCUGAAAGAUGUCAGCUUUGAAGAUGGAGGAAGAGGCCAGGAGCCAAGCAGUGCAAGAAAGAGGUCACUAGAAGCCACAAAAGAAAAGGAAACCAGUACUCCUUAUAGCUUCCAGAAGGAUCUUAGUCUAUUCCCUCUCUUCCUCAAGCUUUAUUGCAGCCUAAGAAGACCUAUUUUGAACUUUUAAGCUCAUGGACAACUUGUGUUGUUUUAAACCAGGAAGUUUAUGUCUGUCGCAUCAGCAAUGGAAACUGAAAAGCUACCACUGGUUAUGUUGGUGACCAUUUUCCAUCUCGUGACAUACUUCUUCUUCUUCUUCUUCUUCUUCUUCUUCUUCUUCUUCUUCUUCUUCUUCUUCUUCUUCUUCUUCUUCUUCUUCUUCAUCAUCAUCAUCAUCAUCAUCAUCAUUAUUAUUAUUAUUUUGGAGAUACAACACAUGUAGAGGUCAGAGGACAGCUCCAUAGAGUUGUUUUUCUACUUUCAGCUUAACAUGUGUCUCAGGGAUCAGAUUCAGGCUUGCCUCAUUGAGGGACAAAUGCUUUUUGCCACUGAGCCAUUUCUCUUGUCCAAUGACAUAUAUAAAUACUUUAUAAUGAUAUCCUGUUAUUAUCUUUUAUCAUCUUAGUUACUUUUGACAUAUUUUGGUCUUUUUCUGCCUUCUCGAUGUGAAUGUUCCAUUAUAUUUGUUCUGUUUUACAAUCAUGAAGCAUUGAGGCUAUGAAUUUGCUUUUGCUGACAGCUUUGGUUAUCACCUAGACUUGCUGGUAUGUUGGCUUCUUAAUAUCAGCAUGUUAAAAAGUACUUGUGGGGGCUGGGGAUUUAGCUCAGUGGUAGAGCGCUUACCUAGGAAGCGCAAGGCCCUGGGUUCGGUCCCCAGCUCCGAAAAAAAAGAACCAAAAAAAAAAAAAGUACUUGUGAUUUUGAUUUUAUUAAUUUUAGAACCAUUUAUGGGACAGUUUAACAAACUCCCAAGUGGUGGAGUUUUACUGUGUUAACCUGUCAUGCUAAUUUCUUGUGAAUCCUCAAUAUCUUUGCAAGUUGAGAUCAGACUUUGUUAGCUUUUAUAUUCAAAUUUCACUGCUGCAGAGAAUGACUUUCCUCUCCCAGCUAGUACAGACUUCUUGUAAGAAUCUGUUAUUCCCAUCACUUUAGUCUUCCCAUCAAAUAUUUCUAGAUGUUUUGAGACUCCAUCUCAGUUUUGUAGUUUUUCUGUACCCCUCCAGGUAAUUGGUAUCUUCCAGUCAGCAUUCAGAGCUCUGAGACUGUUUUGGUCCAUCUGGACUAUUGUACAGCUGAACCUCAUCUCUCUCAGAUUUGGAGGCUGAUCCCAGAUCAAAGUAUCAGCUUGUUUAGUCACCUCCUGGUUCAUAGUAACAUCUCAUUUUGUUCUCACAGAGUAGGUGGGACAAGCAAACUCUGUUGGUCUCUCAGUACCUCAUCAUCUCUCAAAGGCCCAAGUUCCUCAUAUCAUCCCAUAUGAACUUUGGAGGGGAGACAUACAUGCAGAUCCAUAGCAAAAGGACUUCAACCACCUUUCCCAGCUGCCUGGCCCUGGUGAAAAAGGAAGAGUUAGUCUCCAUGGAGACUUGGCAGGGAUAUCCUGGUCCAGACCAAACACCCUGAAUUAUGAGCACAGAGGCCACCUGGGUGCUCUGAGACUUGGAGAAUUCUGAAAUUGCUUCAUUUUCUGGUGUUUGCUCAGCUUCUGUAAAUGUUAAGUGGGCUUUUGAAGGGAACACGUAGUCUGUGUUAUAGGGUCAAUGGAGUAUGAGGAAACUAGUUGUCUCUGAUGCCAUGGAAACUGAGAGGCUUCAGAGAGAGGCCAAAAGAAGGGGAUAUGAAGGUCCCCAGUGGCCUUUGGGAAGAGAGGCAGAAGAUGUGGUUGCCAGAUUUUGGGAGGACAGCAUCAGAGGCCAGCUUGCUGAGGAGCAUGUGGAAGGAAGGGGUCUUUACUGACUCUUGGGGAGCACAGACUCAGGAUUGGAAGGUGAGCCUUGUAGUUGGACAGAGGAAAAGGACCAUGGUGGGAGGUAGCUGAAGGUUCGGCCUGUGAAGAGUAUUCAUCUUUUCUGCUUAUGGGACUGAGUGAGCCAGAGCAAGGCAUUAGCUACCUGUGUCCGGCUCUCAGUUCUAACUCUAGCUUCUUUUUUUAUGGCUUAAAUAGGGAAUUAUAUACCCAACUCGUCCUCUCUACCCCCUGCCCAUACAUUGGGCUCAUAUACUAACAACAGCUUGGUUCCCAGUAAUGACACUAUUUUAGAAGGUUCUGAAGAAAGGAGGCCACUGGAUAGACCUUUGAAGGUUACUCUUGUUGCCUGGCCCUUUUUUCCCCAAUUCUGUCUGUUUCCUGGUUGUCCUGAGGUGAGCAAUUGUGGAGCUUCUUAACUUCCUCUGCUUUAUCAGAGGCCCAGAGACAUGUAGGAAGCUGGCCAUGAACUGAAACCUCUGAAACCAUGAGCCAAGAUGAAUAUCUAUCACCUUUAAAACAUGUCUAUUGGGGCUGGGGAUUUAGCUCAGUGGUAGAGCGCUUACCUAGGAAGCGCAAGGCCCUGGGUUCGGUCCCCAGCUCCGAAAAAAAGAACCAAAAAAAAAAAAAAAAACCAAAA